rnacentral:lncRNA from 1 species
GAGGAGGGGGUUGAGUCCAAAGCCUUGAAAUCUUGGUCUUGGCAGCCUUGUUUGAAGGGCUUGAAACACAUGCCUGGCUAAUAUUAGGUGACCUGUGUAGUGCUCUUUAUAGACCAGAAACCCUAUAUCAAAGUCUAGCCUACUAAGAGUAUGGAAUAAGAAUCAUAUGAGGAAAAGGGAGGAAUAGAGGAGGGGGGGGUUAGUCCAAACCCUGAAAUCAUUGUCUUGGCAGCCUUGUUUGAAGGGCCUGAAACACAUGCCUGGCUAACAUUAGGUGAUCUGUCAAGUGCUCUUUAUAGACCAGAAACCCUAUAUCGAAGUCUAACCUACUCAGAGUAUAGGAAUAAGAAUCAUAUGAGGAAUUUGUUAUGUUGCUUUUUUAGUUGCAUCUACUUUUUUUUCUGGUAUAGUGGAUUCUCUUUCUGCAAAAAGAAAAAAAAGAAGAAGAAAAAAAACUCAUCAUCCAGUUGAUUAACAUGAACGUGAUUGAAGGAUUAGAUCAAAAGUGCUUGUUGAACGAAACUAGCAACAAAUGAAGGGUUACAAAGCAGAAUGAAGGGGAGAGGAAACAAUUGCUAAGUAAUGGAGAUUUGCAUGGCAAAGAAUCUUGUGGAUCAAGGAUUCAGGACCCAGUAUUUCCUCGUCUAUCCUGGCCAUCCUAGAUUAGAUCGGUGAGAUACCAUGUGUUGGGACACAUUCAGGACCCUGAUGCCUAUAAAAUUGGGUUGUCUUGACUGAUAUGGGUCUGUAUUGGAUCGGGUUGAUGAUUGGGAUAAUUGGGACCACCGGCACCAGCAGGCUCAUGAAAGAAAGACAUGAGAGGCUCUCUUCUUUUUGCUAUUUGCUUCACGUGCGAAAGGAAAGAGAGAGUCUCAAAGCCUAGAACAAGCAAAUGUGAACACAUGUCCCAACGGAAAUUGGAUUGGCAGCCCCCAUAGGCCAAAGGUAGGUCUGAGGAGAGGUCGUCUGUUCAUUCAUCCUCUAGAUACAGGACAACAUACAAAAGACAAGGAGAGAGUNNNNNNNNNNNNNNNNNNNNCGAAGGAGAGGAGGAGUUGAAGAAAGGGAGAGAAAGAGCUUAGGUCAUGGAUAUACAUUUAACCCAAUACCAUAUCGGUGUGGUACCGGCACCAUAAACGGAAUAAUGGGCUAAAAAACCUCCCCUAAUAAAUUAUGAACCUAAAACAAUGCAAAAAAGCCUUUAAACAACUAUUAAAAACCACAAAUGAGAAAAGAAUGAAAAUAAUACAAUAAUAAAGAAGAUGUUUUAGUUAAUCCCCAAGAUGCCAAGCUAUCCCAAGGGUCAGUAUGGUACCAAGUCCCUAACCAAUACUGCAUUUGGGACCUGGAUUUCAAACCUCUAUGGAUCUUAUUCCAUAGGACGGAAGCAGCUCCAAAAAUUUUGAAAACAUAACAGUAGUUUAUGGAGUCACCAUAUUUUUAGUGGGUCAAGUUGUAGUUAAAUGCUUGUCUUAUCUCAUGACUGUAAAGUAAUGUUGUGACAGUGCCGUGUUAGUGCAUGAAGUAGAAAAUUUAUUGUGUAAGUAUUAGAUAAUUAUGUUCUUGGUUAUUCAAAGAAAAUGCACCCAAUACAUUCUCACUUUAUGUUGCAUUAUUAUUAUUAUACCAGGUUCCACUUGUCAUCUUGACGAAGUACCUCCAGAAUAAAUUUAAAAAUGCCAUGGUAUGCCAACUCUUCUGAUGAUAUUUAGAAAAAUAAUUUUCAUCUAGUCUUCUAGUAUCUGGAAACAUUGAAAAGAAAUUAUCAUUUCCUUCUUCUAAAUUGAGAUAUUUAUCGGUCCACUUUUCAUUUUCCUUGAGCACGGGCAGGUGGGAAACAUGAUCUUCUGGUUCUUCUUCAGCAUAUAUGGACAGCCUAUGUGCAUUCUCCUUUACUACCAUGAUGUGAUGAACAGAAAAGUGAGGACAGAGUAAAGCAAUAUCUGUCAUCACGCUUGAUUUCAAAUGCAGGGAAUUUGAAGGUACAUAAAUUUUGCAAUCUUUCAUCUUACAAGCAGCUCGGCAGUGAGUGCACUUACCAUUUCCAGGUCUGAACAGUGCUUUUUUUUUCCUCUCUAAUUCAACAUGUAUAAAGUUUCCUGACUUCUUGGACCCAUGUAUCAGUUCAACUUUGUUAGUAUAUUGCAAAUUUCAGCUUCAUGUCUGGAAAUAUAUGCAAGCAUAAAGAUUCAUGCGGUUUUUUAUGACUUAAUUCAUGCCACCCCGUUGAAGUGAAAAAACAUAAUUGAGGGCCUGUUUACAUAAUCCAACAAGAUUUGUGUUACAUUUUCUAUUGGAUUCGUGAAUUAGGAAGUCUAUUUUGAGUAUGGCUCAUAUUAACCAAACAUGUCCCUAGCCCGAAUCUUGUAGGUCUUUUUUUAUUUAUUCUCAUAGAUCAACAAGCUCACAGAGUCACAGGCAUUUGGGUUGGCAUUUCGGCGGGCUCUUGGACAAUGCAGUUUGGAUGGGCCAAUAGGCUUGAUUUCUGCAAAACGAUCCAAGUAGGUGGUUGUUGUUGUGUCCGUUACCCCCCUGGUCUUUGGAGACUACCAGCUAAAGGUUGUGCAUUUAUUAUUUUGCAGAGCAAUCAUAUUAAAAAUGCCUGAACAAAUAGUCUUUCUAAUAUGAGAUUUCAAACAUUUGCAUGGAUUAGGAUUCGUCCAAGUGGCUAAUGGUUGUACCCAUAUGGCUAACAACCAAAGCUUCUAGGGAUCUCUCUCCCUUCCAAAAAGAAAAAAGAUUUUCAUAUUUCAACUUCUUUAGCUGUCUAAGAUGAACGUUGCUUGUUAUCUGUGAUCAUAGAGGCGUUGCUGGCUGGGCUUUCAUUACGCCAUCUCUAACCUUAAGCAAGGGCGACUCAACCACUGUUAUUAGCUGGUCGAACGGCAUCAACACCACGUCCUACCCGUAUAUCCGUUCCUCAGAGCUCGAGGGCUCGAUCCCGGCCCUGCCCGGUUCACGGCUUUCGUCCGCCGAUUGCGCUUGCUUAGUAAGUUCCGGCCCAAUUUUAUCCGCUUGCUCACGCGCAUCCGGCUUUGGUUAUACUUUUGAACGCUUUUAAUUUGUGUUUUGGCCCUCUUGCUCACUCAACAAUAAAUAAAAAGACAAAAAGCCGAGUAUCAGAGAAAUGACUUUGUAGAGGCCACAGCAGAUUUGCCAUAGAAAGCGAAGCUACCAUUCUCACGGUGGAAUGCUAGAUCAACAUAUCAUAACAAUAAUCCAAUUAUCUUACAAUGUUGCUGCUUUAAAAUUACUUAGAAGUUAUGCAUGGUCAAUUUAAUAAUUUGCAACAUUGGACACUGAAAACACGGAAUGGUUGUUGCAAAAUGGUUUAGUAAAACAAAUAUAAUCAGUAUAAUAAGAAUGUUCAGCUGCUACACUCUGUAAGAAGCUUGGAGCAAGCUAUCGUUCGCUUAAGAGAUAAUGAAACAGAAAUUCGACGGGGGAGAAGCAAAUUGAAGCCUAGGAGGCAUGCCAUCUUUUUUGUAACUUUGAGACUUCCGGACCGGCCUAGAGAAAAUCUCAUUGUGGCAUGGUAAAAUACGUGACUAAGCUUUCAGAACAGCUUUGUGAACCAUGGUUUCCUUGUGUAUUUGGUGGCAGCUUUUUUCAACAAGGUCAAGCAGCUUCUCCAAGUUCAUCGCCCAAGAGUUUAGGAUGUCAUUGCUGUCCUUGGCUGUCUGAAAGCAAACAACUCCCAUUGGCCUGUCUAUCUUCGCAAUCAGGGAUUUUGACACCACCAUGUCUGAUAAAUGCUUUUCAGCUUCCUGAAAAAUAACGAGAGAGAGGCAUAAAACUUUGAUAGUUAAAUUUUUUUACAAAAAAAAAAACUACAAGCAUAUUCCGGAAUGCAGAUACAUAGGAUACAUGGUAUGAACACCAGAGAAACCAGACUUGAGAUGAAAAGGAAAUAAACAUGAAGGAGAGACAUGCCGCUACAUUUUCAUGUAUAUUGCAAAGAAUCAUAUGUAAAUGAUCUACCAUACAAAAAUGAUGAGAAUCAAAAAUUUGAAUGGAGAUAUCUAUAACUCCCAAAACACUUUGAUACAUGGAGGGGGGCAAGGAAACAUAAUUCUUGAUCAUCUUAUUUUGUGGAUAGUUAGCAACAUCAUUGGUUCUUGUGAAGCCCCACAAAAAAGGUAUAAAAAUGAAAGCAGCAACCAUGUCUCAACAUACAUACAAUUCCACUAUUGGCUGCUACUAAUAUAUACAUCCAAAUGUAAUUGGCAAUUUAUUGAGAACAAAGAUGGGCCAUGCAGCAAGAUUUUAAACUUAAGCUAUUCUACAGACAGCCCGACUAAUGAGUUAAUUGAACUGAACAGGUUUCUAUUCCUUCUAAACAGGAAAUUUUUUAUGCAUGAGACAAGAAUUUACUGAACAAGACAAAAAAAUAAAAAAGAAGAGGAAGGCAAAACUGCUUGGCAAGUUGCACUCUUCCCUCUCCAAGCAAAGAAAUAAGCCAUGCAAUUGGCCUCUUAGAAUUAGUGAUUCAACACAAUUUCAUGAAGAUCAGAACCAAACUAUGAUCCCAAAAGAUGCUGCUCUCAGAAUCCCUGGUGUGGGAAUCAAUGAAUGGCAGGUACAAACAAUAAACUAACUUCCGCUUUCAAGAAGCUGAUGCACUAGGACCACAAAUAACAAGCAUGGCUGACAAUGUAUCUUUCUGACCCAAUAAUCCUGAGUUUCCAGGAUCGCUGCCAUCAGAAUUAAAUUUGAUCUUUCCUAAGGAAUGACAGAACCAAAUAACAUAUAUGCUACUUGCAAAGGGACUCAAUGCAUCCCAUCAUUAUCAUUCUUACAAGCCUCAAAGAUGAACUCUGUGAGGUGGCCAGUCAACAAGCAAAGCAGCAACCUCUCAUGAACUACCACACAACUAAGCUAAAGCAAGCAGCAACAGGUGCCUUCCUUUCUUCUGCCAUUCCUUCCCUUAAAAGGGAAAAUUGGUGGCAUCUUCGUCUUAACCAGAGAGGGCAGCAGGCCCAGUAACUUACGUGCAUAGGAGCCUCCGCCACCUAGGCUCUAUAAACUAAGUGCUAUAUUUUAUAACAAAAAAGUGUUCUUACCCAUGCACUUCAGCUGUAGCCAAACUUGAUAUCCAUAAAUAAUUAAUACAUUUGCUCAUGCAAUGAUACUAGUAUACUGCAUCCAAUAAUUUAGAAAUUAGGCAAAUGACUUGGAAAGUCAACCUAACUGCAGUAAACAUUUCAAAACUUUACAUAUCUAGGAUGACACUGGAUCAAUCAUCAUAAUUAUUAGUGUCCAAUAUCUCCUGUAUAUCCCAGACUCAUAGUCCACAUUCUCAUGUGCCAAAUGGACUGCAAUCCGGUGCCUGAUUCUAGGUUUUAAUUACCAGAACUGCCAGCAGGCACAGGUACAGUAGCAGGAUAGAGAUCUCUCAAAGAAAUUUCGAAAAAGGAAGUAUGAAAGAAGCAAAUAUGAGAGUACAAUUCUAGAGGGGAUACAAAACGGGUCUGGCAACUCUGGGUUGGAAAAAAAUAAAUAAACAGCUAUCAAGUUCCCGGUAGAAAGAACACAUUAACCAAGUCUGUAGGCAAACAAAGUUAUGAUCAAUAUACACAACCUGCACCUUCUUUGCUAAAUAAAAAGAUCAGAUUAUGAGUUCAAACUACCACUCUAGAGGUUGUUGGGAAACAAAUUAAGGAAUAAAGGGUUCUCCAAAUAUAAGCUGACAAAAGAAAAGCUCUUUAAGUUGAAGCUGAUCUUAUAAUGCUUCAAGUAGAGAUAAUGCUAAGAAUUUGAUCUUUCCUAAGGAAUGACUACUUGAUUAGAAAGUAGUGGAUCACUGUUGAAAGCUAGAUCCACAUGAGUGUGUGAUGCAUAGCUAAAAAAAAAGCCAAUAGAUUCUGUUGGAGCAAAAUGAAGAGGUCGAACGAGAUGAGCUGACCGAGCAGUCAAAAUUGGCAUCCACUUUUCCUUGAGGAAGGUGCUUCAAUUACUCAUUUAUGUCAAUGAACUUAAUUGAUUACCUUUGAAUCUUCUCUAGACCUCAUCAUAAAUUCUACAAGUAUGACUUAGGCCCCGUUUGGCAGAGCUUUUGGUGGGCCAGAAAGCAUUUUCUGACCCUUCAAAAGUAUUGGUAUCCGGUACUGAGAUUGCAGACUUUGUUGCGUACUCUUUCAUCUAUAAGCACCAUGAAUUAUUAACCUUCAAUAACACCAAAUAUUUUGCAGUAAAGACACCCCAAAUUUGGGACAUCGUUAUAUUUGCAUCCUCACAAGGGGAUGGCUACUAAAGGGAAUAGGGGAGAAGCCUAGAAUCAAUCACUCCGCAUACCUUAGGAGUUCUAAGUGUAGUAAAUAAUGUCAGAUAUGUAUGUAGGAAGAACAGAUCAGCAUGAAUAAUCAUGUUGAAUAAAGGAAAGGGGAGCAAACCUGUAGACUCAGGCACAACAAAUCAGCAAGCCUCUUUAAGGUAAUCCUUGAAUAAUACUUUGAUACUACCAAAAUAUUCUGGGAAGGUGAAAGAUUUGCAAAUUAAUAAAGUUUAAAAUAAAGUAAAAAUGAAAAAUGAAAUAGAAGAAACAAAAAACUGAGCAUCAAAAUAAAUACAUGUUCAAUGAUUCUCAGUUUUAGAUCUUCCGCUGCCUUGGCACCCAAAGAUCCUCCAGGCAUAUUCUUCUCAUUCUCAAACUCGUUCUUAUACAUCUCCCAAAGACCAGUCCACUGUAUCACCUCCAUGGUAACUAGCUGCUUUAACAGCAGACUUAGAUGGUGGCCCCACAAAGAGAACAGCAUAUAUGAAGAUCUCUCAUCAGGCAAAAUAAUUGGAUAGAAAAAGUGUGAUGAAAGUAAACCAAAGAAUCACGUACCGGAAAUUCGGAAUUUCAGAAAGAUUUUUAUCUUCUAGGGUAGAGUUGAGAAGGCUUGAUUGCAUUGGGUCAUGAGGCGACAACACCAAAAACCAGCAAAUUUUCCUGAGCACCUACAAAGAAAAAUUUGUUCAGAAAGAUAUUGCAAGAUUAAAAAAAGAACAGAAGGUAUUUACCGGAAUCCACUGUGCUGGGUCCUCUUUCACAGAUGGAAUAUCAUAUAUUGCUUUGUAACUACGGCAAAUUUCCAAGUAGUCAUCAUUGUGAGAGUGAUAGCUACACAAAAACAAUGAUCUAAUUAAUAGUUAUCCAAUCAUCAUGGCACCAAAUGUAAAUAAUAUCUUAAAAUCAAAGUAGACUGCACUCUCUAAUAGAGCAUCUAAUAAUCAGAUUGUAAUGCAUAAAUUCCAAGCAAACAAAUCGCCAUAAUAGAACAUCUCAGAAUCAAAUAACAGAUUUCACAAGCACAAGCACGAGUCAAUAUAGAAACACCAGCUCACCCAUUCGUCCAAACUCACAACCAACGAACCUGGGAAAUAUAGAAUUUUGGACUUCAUAGCUAUUCAUUAGAUUAUAAAGGGUGAGCCUUGGAGCAACAGUAAGGUUGUUCUAAUGUGACCUUGGGGUCACAAGUUUGAAACAACAGAAACUGCCUCUCCAUGUGCAGGGUUAAGAUUGCCUACAUCCGAUCCUCCCCAAACCCCACAAUGGCAGGAGCCUCAUGCAUUGGGAUGCCCUUUGAUAUAGCUAUUUAUUAUUUUAGAGUUUUUCAAAAAAAAAAAAACAAAGAAACUAUCCUUACACAUGAUGCCUCCUGCUGAUGCGAUUACUGCAUUUAACUUGCAGAUCUUAAUAAUAAGAAAUGGAAGAAAGAAAGUAAAAAUUAACAUGUCAAAUGUAAUGAGCAAAGGAGUACCAAAGGUUAUUUCGCAUUCAGAAUCAAAAGGGGACGGCUACAUGAAUCAUAUUGUAGUGGUACGAAAGGGAAUCAGUAAUCACCAAUAACAAUAUUCAGUAAACAAUCAGAAAGAAAACAGAGGACAUUAAUUUGAAGUCAACAAAAUAUUCAGUGAUGAACAGUGAAGGCGAAGGAAAAGGGCACAGGUAGAUGCUCGAAUAGCCAAACACAAAAGCCUUUUCUCUUUUUUAUUUUUUCCUUGGGGGAGAAGGGUGGGUGACUGGUUGCCUUGGUCCCAAAAGAAUCAACUCUCCUCAACAGAGAAUGGUUAAACAGCUUACGCACAAAACCUGAUGAGCAAAUAAGCACCACCAUACCGAAUCAUUAGUUCAUAGUAGAUACGCUUCAACUCUAAGAGGGAAGGUAUAUCUGCAGGAGGCUCUUCAACAACAUUAUCACCUUCCUUAGGCUUUUUCUUCUCCUUUGAGGCAUCUGCAUCAAAAACCCGAGGACUAAUUUUUCUUGACAAAAUCUGUGCGCGUACAUAAUCCUGGCGAUCUAAGCACAAACGAACCUGGAAAUUGUUUGAUUUGAAAAUAUAUAUAUAAUAUAUAUAUAUAAGUAAUGGAAUAUGUCAGUCUUGUAACAGUAUUGUCCAAAUUGAGCCAAUGAAUGAAGGUUUAAACAUGAUAUACUUGUUCAAGAAUGAAUGCUAUCUUCUCUGUUUUUGCCAUUGCUCCAAAAGUUUCCACCUGAAGACUAAACAUUCAGUUGACAAAACAAAAUAAAUUGUAUAAUUUUAACCACUAAUUGUCCGUAAUCAAAUACAACAAGAAUCCCAAAAUAAACUAAGUCUCAACGGAAGUGUAAGGAAACAUUUCAGUACAUCAACAUAAAUACAACAAGAAUCCCAGUGUAAACCGAUGGAAUUGUCAUGAGACAUUUCAGCAUCAACUUACAGCAAUUUCUUGCAUCAAAUCAGCAGCCUCAGCAAUAAGGCCUUGUUCUUCUUUAAUCUUCGCGAGUUUUUUUAUCAAGCGUGCCCUCUCUAUCUCGACAUAUAUCUGUAAACAGACAAGAAACCUAAAUUGCAUGUUUAAGUAUAUAAAAUGUGCUAAAGUAGGUCUCCUCUAUGUAUCACAUGUUCACCUUUCCAGCAGAGACACUGUUCAGUGUUUUGAUUAAUUCUAUGCACGUAUCAAUAUCAGGUGUCUCAUCAAUAUAAUGCAUGGCUUGUUGCACCAUAGCAGUGACAGCCUGCAUGCAAACAACCACACAAAAAUAAAUUGAAUAAGUACAACCAAGAAAACCAGAUUAGAGCACUCAAAUGGGGCUUUUCAUAGGCCAACCACAAAAUGGUUUUCAAUGAAGAAAAAUAGAAGAAGUGAAUCACAUAAAUAGUUUAAAUCAGAAAUCCAGUGUCCACCUUUCUUUUUAAUCCUUACUCCACCACAGCCCUAGGUGCCUGCAAAAGUAAACUGGCUCCCGGCAACACAUACUACGUGUCUGCCAGGACCAAGUGUCCCCACAUCCAGCAAUGAGUAAAGAUGGGGAACAAUCCACUGACAUAUAAAUUAAGUUCAUAAACCACCAUGUUUCAACUCUCUAUCUCUAUACUCCCUAUAUAUAUAAUCUGUAUGUCUGAAGUGGUGCACAGAUAAAUAAUCUGUAUGUCUGAGGUGGUGCAAAGGUGGGAUAUUGAUGUUAUAAUUAGGUCGUUUGACACCUGAAAUGUACUAACUACAGGUUAUCAUGAGUUGAAGGGUACAGCUGAUGUCUGUGUUGAAAAUAAUCAUUUGUAGUACAUCCCCUGCAAAGAAAUCCCAAAGAGAAAGAGAGAGAGAAGAGUUGCCCCACAUGGCUAUACUAGCCAACUAAAUAGCACCUCACCUUCAGAUGCAAAUAUUUCUAUGCAAUCACAUAAACCAACUUAGCUUUUUUACUUUUCUUGGGAUGAAGAAAGAAAAGUAAAUCCAGGAGAUGAAUGGCAUUUACCACUAAAAACAUCAGAGCGACUGCAACCCAAUAUAGCUAAUACAUUUCCCCAACAGGCCUUGCAUCCUAACCAGACUCCUCCCAAGCCUCAAGGAUCCUUGCCAUUCUACUACAAAGAAAAUUAGGGGUGCAGGAUCCACUCAAUAUGUUCUCCAUUGAAGCGUCCCCGGAUACCAUCUUGGUACAAAAGUAUCUUUAAUUUGCUCUCAAACUUCUCUUUUACCUUUGAAGGAGGUCUAUAUAAUAGUAUUUUGCAGAAAAGGAGGGCCCGGAAUAACAGAGUAGGAUAUAUUCAACCAAAACUUAGUGUUGCAUCUAGUGCUUUUUCUUACGCUUCACUCUCCUUUCAAUGUCUCAAUGUCUCUUCACAAAAGUGAACGAAAAUAUUUCUUAGGCAUUAGGAAAAGAAAAUAUAUACUAGUUUGUUUGCAUGCCCAAACCCUGCUUCUUCUCUACAAUUGUCUUUGGCAGCUUUUCACUACAAACUACUCUCCUUUCCACGAUAAAUGGCAAACUACCAUUCAACUUAGUAAUCCCUAACUUAUCAUCACAUAAUUACCUGAGUGUACAUUCCCGCAAUCCCACUUCCAAGGUAUACUUGUAACAUCAGGAUCCUCUCAAAGAAAACUUAUAUUACAAUUUUCAACUCUGUUAACCAUCACUUAACUUGUACCAUCAGGCUCCUCCCAAAGAAACCCUGAUUAUAAUUUCCAACUCUCUUGAUUCCCGUAACUCACCAUCCCAACAUGCAGAAAACAUCUCAGACAUUUAUUUGUGAUUUAAGGCCCCUCAAAGAGAAUAAACCUUUCCAAUCUCUUUGCUGCUUUAGAAUGUAAUAAUAAUAAUACACGCAUAUUAAGUGCAGAAAUUGUUAUGGUGUAGCAUACUAGCGUAAAUAGGCCCCAAUAAGGUAGGACAUUUUUAAGAUACCAAUUUCUUAUUCAUACUCUAAAUCAUCAAGGUCGAAGGGAUGCUCUAAUUUAAAGUUAUAAAUAGGUCAAUGAGAGCGAGUUCUUCAAAAUCCCACUCGUCCAUCAUUUUAUCAAAACAAAUGCAGGAUUUGCAGCAGACUUGAACAGACUAACAAGACUAAAAUGCUUCAAGUGACGCAGAAUAUGGUUACGAUGGAUCACAUUGUCAUUCACUAUAACAUGGUAAACAAAAAGUCUGGUGAAUACUAGACCCAUCAAGGCACCCAUAUCUUCGUGCACUAGAUAUCCCCUCCAUUAUAUGUGAUUCAAUAUGGACAGUAAGGACCCUUGAUCUUAAAUAGAUAAAGCUUUUUAAGAAGUCCUGGGAAUAACUACUUAGAUCAUAUAAAAAUACGAGGACCUACAGUGAGGAUAGUAUAAAUCCCACUAGUUGCACCCAAUAUCACAUCUAUCCAGCACUAUAAAUGAAAUAUUGUCUCAUCUUGCCAAAUUCCUUUUUUAUAACAACUUUGCAAAAGACAUGACUUUCUUCCCUUCCAAGAAAAUACUACAUUCUAUAUGCAUUGCUAUCCUAUCCUCGGAUCUAGUUCUCUGCAUUCCUUUGUUUGAUACAUAUUUUCUACCAUUUCAACCUUGUGAUGAUUUUGGGCAAAUGUGCUUUGCACUGAUAAAAAUCUAACAGUGAACAACAUAAAUACAUAACAUGCCAACAUACGUUAUACUUCAUAACAAAGCUGAGGCACCUCGGUGACCUUAAAUUUUGAUAACCCAGGAACAUGCAAAGAAGACAUACUAAAAACAUAGUUCACCUGCAUCUAGAACUGCACUUUUGAUUGUACAUACUUAUGAGCUAACAAAAAUAUCAUCAAGGUGGUUUUGCUGCACUAGGUUGGCCAGUAUCAAAGGAAAAAAGAAUUCCAAAUGUAGCCUGCUCUAGCAAUUCGAUAAAUUAGAUCUAUUUAAACUCAGCAAGAAACAAAUUUUCCAAACACUUCACCUGCUUAAGCUGGCCCCUCCUUUUUGACAGAAGAACUAUCUGGUCGUUCAGAGUCUUCCAUGCACGGGCUUUGUAACAAAGCUCCACAAUGUCAGUAACAGCUUUCUUGGUUCCGGCAACAUCACCAGCAAGCCUCAUUUGCUUCUCAACAUUCAAGAGGGACUCUAUCGCAGCAUCGAGAUUCUCUUCCUGCAUCAAGCAACUAUGAUGUCAGAUUCCUACAUAAGGAAGCAAGCAAUCAUCUGGUACUGAAAAUUACGGUAUAAAUAUCUAAUACCACUAACGAUAUAUUCACAAAUAUCAGUAAUACAAUAGUACAAUGGUUCAUAUUAUAUAGAAUAGAAAUUAUUUAAAAAAUCCGAAGAUACUACAAGUAUAGAGAACAUUUAACAUCUCUAGAUUCCUCCUGUUUUCACGGAAUUUUUACACCAAGAAGCAAAACUUCCUUCAUUGUUCCCCUCUUCCAACAGGACUGUGCCUCUUGAUUCAAUUGAUCGAAACCUAAUGCAAAUGCCAUGUUGGGAUCUUAUAAUUGACAGACUUAUACGCAUAAAGCUUGGUUUCUACAAUAAACCAUGGAACAACGAUUUCAAGAACAGAUUGGACAAACUGAGGGCGAUCACAAAUCGUAGUCGUAUUCAGGGAUCCAAGAAAUCAAAAGGCGAGUCCCUCAUUAAACAGAAAGAUAGACUAAGAGAUCAAGAUGUCGAAGAAGCAGAGACGUUCACCAUCUUUGAAGCGAUUGCGUGACGACGAGGAGAAACCCUAGAGAGAGAGGCGGAGACUUGGGCUGGAAGACAGAGGGUUCUCUUCCCAGCUCCUGAGUGCUGCCUCGUCUCCAAGGGGAAGGGUUACAAAGUUUAUUUGUUUUAAAUUAAAGCGGCCGAUCGGGUCGGAUCAUGGUCCAAGCUAGGCCCGGAUCAAGUUUAGACACGUCCCAGCCGUUCGCUUGGAGGAUUUUGUGGGACACAGAACGAGAACCUCCAAAUUGACAUUUGUCCGGCCCAAUUGAAUGCACCAAGGAGGCAGGCCAACGCAAUCGCUGAGGGAGACCUAGAGGACCAGGUAGAUGGUUGAGCACGAGGGUGGAGACGCCUAGGUAUCACCCAAAGGCAAACAGGGCAGUAAAUUGGAUGGCUUCUUUUUAUCAAUCGAUAUGAUGUUUGAACCGAUGCAAUGUUUAGCUAAAGAAUUUUUCUAAAUCUGCUAUUUUCUAAUUCUUUUAGAUAUAUUCAAGCAUGUAGAUUGGAUGGCCUUUUUUGUAGUUGAUCACUUCAGUAGAAUAUUUUAGACCGAUACAAUGUUUGCUUAGAGAACUUUUCUAAUUCUGUUAUUUUGUAAUUCUCUUAUAUAUGUUCAUAUUAGAAUAGUAUGGAGCAUAUAGAUUGGAUGGUCUUUUUUUUUUUUUGUGGUUGAUCACUUUGGUAGAAUGUUUUAGAUCGACGCAAUGUUUGCUUCGAGAGCUUUUCUAAUUCUUUUAUUUUCUAAUUCUCUUAAAUACAUUAAUACUAGAAUGGUAUAGAGCGUCUGGAGAGAUCGGCAUCGGCAACAGCGGCGGGGCAUCUGCGUUGGCCUAGUGGAUGGUCCAAAAAAUUAAAGUGUUUGUUUUUCAGAGAUCAGCAGAGGUUUGCAGAUUUAGAAUGCAUCCAAAGCUGCACACAGCAGCCCUCGUACAGACACGAAAUCACAAGCGACUUUGACGACAGUAGAGAGAGUUCGACAUUUUUACCCUCUUUCCAUCUAUGGCCUUGGUUGCACUGCAGUGGUCUGAACCGAUCUGCUCUGCUCUGCAAUUUAGUCUCUUGAUCUCACUCACUAACAAGCACAGGACAGUUCAUUGACCCUUGCAACAUCCAAUGUUAUUCUCUAUAACCAAAUCUAAAGCUCACCGAUUCUAAAAUACAUGGUAUAUCAAGUGUUACAAGUCACUCCAAGAAAGAAUAACUAGUCAAACCAAAUAUAAGCUCCCACAAGAAUUAUUUCUCCUUACUAAAUUCGAAGCUACGAAACACUUCAUAAAACAACCAAAGCAAGUGUAUAGUACCUGAACUUGGACUGGUAGUUGUACAGACGCAUCACUAGACAAAUCUCAAAGGUAUAUACAAUAUCAGACUAAAUAAAAUAAAUAUACAACAUGGGAAUACAAAGUGUUCCGUUUGAGCUAUUUUGAAAUUUUCCCCUUUCAAAAUGGAAGUCACAAGCAACAGACUUGAGGCAGAUAAUGUCCCUUCAGUGAAAACUCAAACUGCAACCAAGCAAUAUUGGACUUAUUCCCUGCCAAUGUAUCACAACACCAAAAAUUAGAAUUCAUUAUUUUUUCAAUGCCAAACCAAAAACAGAAAACUAGCAAAGGAGAGAAAGGAGAGGUAACAUUCUAAAAAGUAACAUUUCUAGGAUGUCUUAAAUCGAGCUUGAUUUCCUUGAUCUUGGUCCCCAAAAGUCAUGUUGAAUUGGUAAUGGAUUAUUUUAAUGUUAAGAGUUCUAAACAUCUCAUUCAUAGUGCAAAAGAGCACAUCUCAAGCAGGUUGGUAUUGCCAAUGACAAUUGAAACUAAUCAGCAAAUACCAUCACAGCUUCAAAUUUAAACUAUUGAACAGUCUAUGAAAAGAAAUAAGGAUCCAUGACCAACCAAAAGUUUGAUACAGUGAAACUUCAGGAGUACACACCCUACAGGUUGACAUGAUACUGCAAGAUGGGAUUCUGACAAAAGGUCAUCUUAGGUCCAUGCAAUUUGGUCCUGCAUGGAAGAUAAUAGAACUAUGAUUUAGAUUCUGACUGGAAGGAUUGGGGACCAUGUCCGCAUCUUCUUCUUUUUUUUUUUAAAAAAAAAGGACCCAAUUAUGACAACCAGCACAUUAGCUUUUGAAAUAAGAUUGCUUUUGGUAAGCCAAGCAUAUGAUAGCAACAGAUUUCCAAACUGAUAAAGCAAUUUAUGCCGAUCAAAAAAGAACAGUUGAACAUAGAUGUAGUAUAGGAUGAGGAACCGUGAAGAUGGCAGAUUUAUAAAUGGCAUUAGGAGACUUCACCUGAUGAUAUUGAUGCCUUAACACUUAACAGCAGAUAUCAGAUGGAAGAAACCACAGCGAAAGGCCUCAUCUUUGUCAUAAUUAAAUGUUUGAUACCUAAGGAGGAUACCAGUAUUUAAUAUUACAUCUUCCUUAGGUAUAAAUCAGAAUUUUGGAUUCAUAAAACUUUUUUCGGAUAGAAUUGCGGACUGAAAGAGUGAGAAGCCAUAUAACAUUUUUUGCAUCGCUUAGGAAAAUUGACAGAAUACUGAACUUUAAAUGAAAAACAAAUUUUAUUUUGCAACUGAAAGAAUGUCUUAUCACAAGAUAAAUGAUUCACCAAAGUGAACUGCAUAUAGUAGUAUAUACAGCAGUGCACUGGAUUGUGAUAUAAGAGAGAGAGAGAGACCGCUAACAAAAAAAAAAUCAAGAAUUAUCACAACUAUCCAAAGUCAAGUUGCAAAAUGGUUUGUAAUGAGUUGGAAUUUGAAAUGAGAACAUAAUCAAUUGAUAGUACAAAAUCGUCAACUGAUCAUUUAUCAAAACCAACCAUAAUGCAAAAGUAUUAAUCCUCAUUUCCAUGUUUAGAACCUAUCUAUCUUAGGAAAGGUUGAAGAAAUCACCUAUUCUAGUUUCAUUAUAUGCAUGUGCAUAACAUGAGGUUUAUAUGCAAGACUGCCAUGUCGCUGAAACAGCUCAUCAAUUCUUUUGCUCAUAUCUCCAACAACUCUAAAUUAAUUGGAAAAAAAGGCAAGUUGCAAAAGAAACAAGGUGGUUAUGAAACCCAAUAGUUUAAGUGGGGUUUGGGAGGGGAGAGCAGGGUGGAGAACACAGAUCAAUGCUGGAUGUAGGCUUACCUUGAGAACCAAAAGCAAAAAUUCAGGGCUUGCUUGGCAUUUUCUUUUUCAAAAAAAAAAAGAAAUGUGGACUAGACUGAACAACAAGUGCAAUGAAAUGCUUUUUUUUCUAAGUUUUUUGUAAAAUCUUUAGAGCUUUUGGCAGCUACGAUUUAUUGCUUUAAAAAAAAGAGAGCGGAAAUAAAAGCAAGGAGUAGCAUAAUUUUUGCAAGUGCUAUCUUCACCAUCAAGCUGCAUGUGGUAUUUCACUAAUAUGUAGAGAAACAAAGCCACAAAAUCAACAAUGAUACCAAACAGUUAGUAAAUUUUUGAUAAAGAAGGGAGAAAAAGGUGUCUAGAUUUUAUGAAGAACUGAAAGGUGAUUAUGGAUUUCAGCAAGAUCAAUAAUCAAAUUAUCCUACAGUCUAGGAAUUAGCUGAAUAACAGUCCAUGAAUCUCAGACAUGCAUAAAAUUUUCACAAGGAUAAAUUACAUUUUUGUUUCGAUCCGGUAUACUAGUGCUGGUAUGAUCACAAUGUGGAUGAAUUACAUUUCACACAAAAGAUUUAAAACUUACAAGCAUACCAAAACCUUCAUAAGUGCAGAAUCCUCUGAAGCUAUAAGAAACCCAAACUACAAGCAAAGGAUGACACUAACAGAAAAUCAACAAAAUAUCCUACCAGGAGAAGCCAGGUCUGCACAAAUUCCUAGGUUUGACCAUCCUGCUUAAUCCCAGAGGUUGAAAUAGCUAGCGAGGGAAAUAAGGACAGAGGAAAUCAAGCUUUUAACAGUAGAACUUGAACCAUGAAACCAGAAAUAAGCAACUAAAGUAGAAUGGAAAGGCAAAAGUGGAGAAAAUAACCAAAGAAAAUUAAUUGUCUGAAAAUAUUACGUGCAAGCAAGGAAAAACAAGGAAUCUUAUAUUUUUUGAUCCGAUUGGAUCCAUGAACCCAGAGAAGGAAGGGGACAAGGAAGAAAGCUGAAGACAGAAUCCAACCCAAAAAAAAGAAAGCAAUGAGAACAAGAACAAGAACAAGGGUACCUGAAACUAUGUAGCUUAGAAAAUCGAACAUUUUAAAGCCCAUUAAUGAAAACAAAAAAAUGAAGUUUUGAUUAGAAAUUAAGAGUAGGACGAUAAAUCUAGAAAAGAAAACCUUUUGCAAGGGCAAGGUCAAACCAUAGAGAGAGAGGGCUAAAAACAAGAUGAAGAACAAGAAGAACGAGAAGGCUACCGAUAGUAUGCAAAUAGCAGUAGCAUAUUAAAUAUCUCUUCAGAUUCAUUAAAACCACUGAAAUUAAGGGGAAAAAACAAAAUUUUUGAGACGAAAUUGAAAAUAGAAAAGGAAAACCUGCGAACCACAGAGAGGGAACACAAACAAAUACUAACCAUCAGCAAUCAAAUACUUGUUCAUCAAAGCCCGUCAAAGAACAAAAAAAUCCAAGCCUUCGACAAAAAAUCAGUGCUAGAACCAUGAAGCUAAAAAACAAAAGAUAUUGCAAGGAUAAAAUCCCAAACAAAGAGAGAGAAUCAGAAGAAGAAUAAAGACGACAAUAAAACCUCCGAUACCAUGAAAACAGCCAUAGGAAAUAAAAUAUUUGUCCAAAUCGAUCAAAAACCAAAAAUAAAAGGAAAAAAAAAUCUAAAUGAUUGACAAGAAAUCACAACUAGAACCAUCAAAUUAUGAAAAAGAUGCCUUUUUGCAAAGGAAAUCAAACAGGAAAGAUGGCGAGGAGCAUACCAGAAGAAGGGAUCACCACCAGCCAUUAACCACCAGGGUGUAUCUAUCCUUGAGCCACCGGAAGCUCCUCCUAAGAGACCCCUUCACCCUCCCCUCGACGGCGUAGAGCUUGUAGCUCGCCACCCGCUUCUUCCUCUGGAACUCCGGGUCGCUGAAGACCCACCCCUUCUUGGAGGAACCGGAUGCCGCCUUCCCCUUGCCCAACUUGACCUCCCUGGUACCGUAUCCAGCGUAGCCGCUGCCUGGGUGGGCGGAGGAGGCGGAGGACGCGCUGUAGCUCCUCAAAUCGUAUACGCCGGAAGGGGGAGGGGGCGGCCGGCCGCCGUAGGCCCCAAGCUGCAUCCUUCCGUCGUUGUGGCCCCUCGAUCUGAAACCCUCCAUGGCAGCCAAGACCAGCCCUUUCCCUCUCCCCCUCCGUCUCGCUCUGGAGGGCGUCUUCGGUCUAGACGAGAGGAGGGCGGACGUGCGAACAGGGGAAUGUCGGAUGAUUUUUCUUUUUCCACCCUCUCAGCUUUUUUUUUCGCUUUUUCAUUUUUUUAAAUAAAAUACAGUAACGCCCUCAACUUGUGGGCAAAAUACAUUCUCUCUAAAAAAAAAUUUGAAAACUUUCAGGCCAGCUAUAUAUAUAUAUAUAUAUAUAUNNNNNNNNNNNNNNNNNNGCUAUAUAUAUAUAUAUAUAUAUAUGCUAAAAAUAGACAUUUCAUAUAUCACGGAUAUGAAUAUACCCAAUAGAAUCGAAAUACAAAAGGUUCCGAAGUGCUCCGACCAUCUCUCUCCCUAGUUCAUAUGGUACCUCCAGAGUGACUCGCUACAUAUGUAACCACCCAAUCGACCGCUCCAUUGGCCUCACGAUAUACAUGCAUAGCCUAAAAUAUGACAUCCUCCCUUACCAUCAUUCAAAAAUCGCGGAGCAGGGGAUGAGCUCCUCCAUGACUACUCGAGUCCCUGUGGAUCCAGCUAAUCGCCGUGGUCAAUUUCAGACAACAUUUUGUUGCUUCAGGAGAUGAUGGGGGAUCUGCAGUGAGCCUCGAGAAGGCGAAGUCUGAUGGCAGUGAAACUGGAUAUGGAGCGUGCCUAUGACCAGAUCCAGUGGGAUUUUCUUCGGCGGCACUAGAGAGUUUCGGAUUCCACCAGAAUUGGAUUGCUUGGAUUCUAGGAUGUGUGCGGGGCCUAGCUUUUCCAUUUUGGUCAAUGGCACACCAUUACCCUUCUUCCGAGCCACUAUGGGGCUUCGCCAGGGAUGCCUUAUGUCCCCGUAUUUAUUUAUCAUUUGCUCUGAUUUGCUUUUCCGUGCUUUGCAUGUUGCUUGUGGGAACCGAGAGCCGGCAGCCUAUAGUCCAAGUCCGGGUGCCCGCCCUAUUUCUCAUUUGCUAUUUGCAGACGAUUGCCUCUUACUCACUAGGGCAAGGGUGACGGAUGCCAGAGCCCUUCAAGGCAUGUUGACAGAGUAUUGUGUAUGGUCUGGGCAAAGAGUCAACCUCCAAAAGUCAGUCAUCUACUUCAGACCGUGCACGGAGCGGAGGGUGCGACGGGAGAUCAAGGCGAUUCUAGGCAUGUAGGAGCAAGAGGGGCCCCUAGUUGAUCUUGGGGUUUCCAUCACGGAAAGAAGGUUACAGGUGGUAGAGUGCUCUACUUUGUUGGAGAGGGUGCGGAGCAGACUAGAAGGUUGGAGGGCAUCAUCACUCUCUAUAAUAGGUAGAUUGACACUGAUCAGGUCAGUUCUGUGCUCUUUGCCCAUUUAUCUGAUAGCUCAUACAGUUGUGCCGAAUACUGUACUGGAGGGGAUUGAGCGGCUUAUGCGGAGUUUUCUUUGGGGCUCUUAUAGGGGGGCCACGGGAUACACCUGGUGGCCUGGGAGAGAGUAUGUCUGCCACUGUGCGAGGGUGGUUUGGGGGUGCAGUCACUCUUGGUGAGGUGUGAGGCUUUCUUGGCGCGACGAGCGGUACAGUUUGUCUUGCAGCCGCACAGUCUCUGAAGUCAGGUCAUAACGACUAGAUAUGGCCAAGCAGGAUUCGCUGAGCAGGCGACAGCUUGCCGGAGGAGGUCCUUUAUAUGGCGAGAGGUUGGGAGAUACUUGUCUAUGGCCCUGGCGAAUUAUAGGUGGCUGAUCAGCGAUAGACAAAGCAUUGAUGUGAUGGAGGACUCGUGGGUGGAUGCACUUUCUUUGAGACUAUGGCCGACGAUGCUCAGUGCUGGGGGGGUGGCAGGACUUCGGGUUUCUGACAUGUUCAGGCCGAGGGAGGCGGAGUGGGAUGGUGAUAGGCUGGGCCAGUUCUUUGGAGAGCAUUUGGCAGAGCGGGUUCGAGCGCUCCCCAUUCUGGGAUCCCCAGGUCCAGAUGUUAGGAUUUAGAGUACCACCUGUAGAGCCAGCAUUGGGAUUGGCGAGGUUCUUGGGUUCUUCAGCCGGGUUUAGAGCUGGGCAUAGAUUGUGGCUGGGUGUGGAGGUUUGGGCUACACCAGAGGGUUGCUCUCUUUCUCUGGAAGGUGGCUUGGGAGUGUUUGCCAACGUGCUUAGUGUAAAGUAGAUGAGGCGUGAGACUUUAUCCUCUACACCCGGAUUGUGGAGUGGACGAGUCGGUGGAUUAUGUACUAUUCCAGUGCGUGUGAGCGAGAGGUGCUUGAAGUUUGACUGGGAUCUCGAGAGAUGUUUGGAGUGGGAGGGAUUGUUUUCUGGAGGAGGUUCGGCGUUGGGCUGGUGUUCUUUAGAUACGUCUUUCGGCUAUUAGGGCGUCUUGUACAGCAUAUCAGCUAUGGUUGGCUAGAAAUGCCCGAGUUUUUGAUGAGCGCAGGUCGUCCCCAUGUUUCGUGAUGGAGCAGGCUCGCGCUCAGAUAGCAGAAUAUAUCCAUGCAGAAUCAGCUCAUAGACCUUUGACAGCUUGGGACAUUUGGGGCCCCCACAUUGCUUCGGCAGCUCCACAUAGGGUAUUCUUUACUUGGGAGCUCCCACCUCCGAGUUUUCUCAAGGUCAAUUUUGAUGGCACUGUCUUGGAUGAUGGUAUGAGAAGAGAGGCUGGAUUUGUCAUCAGAGGCCCGGGUUCCGAUGCGGUGGCAACAGGGGCUGUUAGAUGUUUGAUACCUUGGUUCCGAGGGCAGAGCUGCGGGCAGCUUGGAUAGGUCUGUAUUACGCACGGCGGGUGCUUCAGGCGAGUUCAAGCCACCCAUAUUCCAUAUAUAUAUUGUUAAUUUUAUAUACACCGGUUAUCUACUUAACCGGUCAAACAAGUGCCAAAAAUCAUGUGUUAAUUUUAUUUUGUGUCAAUGUCCUAAAAAGUAGUUUAAUCAGACAAAAUUGAUCUCGGAUGAGGAGUUGAAAUAGAUUUAAUCCUUGGAAUAUUCUCAUUUCGGUAUACUUUUUCACUUUUCUUCACAACUUAUCCUGCUAACCUUUGAACGCCAACCAAAUAGCAAAUAAUUUUAAUCCAUGAUUAUCUAAUUAGGGUUGGUUAUCAAUAGCUAAAAGUAUCUACAUCCAAUUAGCUAUUUGGGAGCCAAACAGGGUCUAUACAUACGUCAUGAGGAUGCUACUAGCAUUGAGAGAAAUACUGAAAUAUAAUGAGUAGUGACAUGGGCCGUUGCUUACAUCGCAGCCCCCCUUGCCUAUUCAUCCAACCCAAUGGCAUAAUCUUAUAAGCGUGUGAAAUGCUAAAAUAACCCUGGGAUCUCAUACAAACAAGUUACUUAACGUGUAACAUCUUGAUUGGUCUGAGGACCGUUUGCAUUUAUGACUAAGGACCAGGUGAAAAGCUAGGCGUGUAUUUGUGUUUCUGUAGCACUGCUCUAGAAAUCUGAGGGAGCUCUGUUUGAUUCACGUUCGGAAUCAAAAUCGUAGUGGGUUAGAAUGAAAAUCGAAAUAAUCAUAUUCCUCAACGCAUUUGGUUCGUGAGUCCGAAUCAAAAUAGAAUUUAAAAUAUUAGGAAGAGUCUAGAUAAAUUUUGGAGAAUUGGAGCAUUAUGUUCUCCUUUAGAAUUGAAAUGGGGAUGAGACUUUUCCUAACCAAAUAGCUGAAAUGAGAGUCACUUAUUGCUAUUCUCAUUCCACAUCUCAACUAACUCCGGCCAAACAUGCCCUUUCACAUGCAUCUAUUAUAAAUCUUAGGAGAUUCCAAUUCUAAAUGGUUACAUGUUUGAGUUUUAUAAGCAGUUAAUCCAAACAUUACUCCCCAACAAAAGCAAUGGAAAUGGUUUCUCAUUGCACAUCCCAACUCCGUCCGACUAAACAUGCCCUUCACAUGCAUCUAUUAUAAAUCUUAGGAGAUUCCAAUUCUAAAUGGUCACAUGUUUGAGUUUUAUAAGCAGUUAAUCCAAACAUUACUCCCCGACAAAAAGCAAUGAAAAUGGUUUCAUAUGUGAAGGCAUAUGCUCCAAACCAAGAUUUAAUGUAUAAAAAUACAAGAAGGGCCCAGAUCAGUCACCCAUAUUCAUGCACCAACUAAUAUGGGACAAUUGAACACGAUGGAAAAAAAAUAAUAUGUGCCCCUCCUCUCUAUUAAUUUGCUAUUGGUCAGAGCACAUGUAACUCCAUAUCUCAAACCUAACUAAAAUAGCACAAUUACAUAGCAAUAGAGUUGAUCAUGGGCAAGACCUCGGACUAAACUAUAUUCAUUUUUAGUUUGGUUUUGGGCUGGGUUUAUUGAAAAAUUGAUAUUUUCUGCGCCUAAGCCCAACCUUUGAUCAUCUCUACUUGUCAAGAAAACAUUGAUGCAUUCAUCCAUACAAGACAUCGUUUGUCAUGGAAGAUGAACUUGGCUGGGUGAGUGCUAAUACUCCAGAUUUUUCUACCAAAAACGAGUUUUUAUUAAACACUUGUAAGUCCAAUCUGCGCAUGGAUUUGCUGUCGCCUUGAUUUCUUUUUCUCCCGGUUCAUCUUCCCCAGAUUAAGUUGCCAUUAACAUUGAUCCUUGUUUGACCCUGGGUCUAGGACUUGACAUGGUGCAACUUAUAUAUAAUUCCCAGGCAAGUUUGCUAUAGCUUUAGAUUUUAAUUUGGACCUGAGUGGGUUGGAUUUUGAAUUUGGUUCGAGGGAAUAUGGCAUGGAUCAGGUGCUAGCUAGGGUUGCAUAAGAUUUGGGUGGAGUUGGACUCAACUCAAUCACAACAUGGGUCCAAAAUUCUGGUCAAUGCAAGAUUCGAUUAAUCAGCGAAUACACCAGAGAAGAUGGACUGACUGUGUUAGUCACCGAGAAUAAGAGUUUUUUCGUGGAAAAUUCCUCUUGUUGAUGGAGGAAGCAGAUGGAGAGACAAAUUUCCAUAACUUUCUUUUUCUCCGUCUUCUUCAUUGUCUGCUGUUUGUUUCCUCUAACAUCAUCUUAGAAUGCUGUUUGUUUCCUCUAACAUCUUCUUAGUAAGGUAGGAUAGGUAAAAUAAGUCUGAAAAGGCAUUUUCAGAUAUGAAGUUACCAAAUUUUUUAAUAAAAACUCUACUAGCAAAAGUUCUACCAUUCAAACUGUCGCAAAUAAAAGCUCUACUAUAUAUAAUGAUACCUAAUUGGUUCUUAGGAAGAUAGAUAAGAUCGGUUUCAUGCGCAUAUAUGUUACAUCUUAUGCAUGACAUGUGGCUCUUUUCCCUCUUAUUCUACUAGUAACAACUUGCUCUGAUUCUUUAGCCAGAAAAUUUUAGGAGUUUUUCCCUCUGUUGGGUGGAGCUACCUUCCUGUUUGCACCUGUCACAGUGUUGAUGACAGAUUCAUACAAUGAGCAUAAACUUGGUAUCAUUGACUGGCUCCUCUGAGUUAGCAGUUCAACUUCUUGUAAUUUCUUUAUUAUCCUGGCCGACUGGCAAGCAAGGGGGGCCUAUACAAUUGAUUCUUAGAGGUUAGUCUUCAUAUCAUCCAAGACUAAUGUAUAGUCUAUGUAGAAAAAGAUAGUGGCGUAUUCAGAGCAUAUUAUGCUUGAUUCAACAGUCAUAGGAAAGUCCAUGCUAAUUUCUUUCGCUGUAUUUUUGCCACCAAUUUCCAACCUAAGGUCCUUGAUAGAAGCUUCACUCAUGAUACUCUGACUGGGCCAAAGUUGAAGGGAGUCAAGUUCGAGCAGUCGAUUCUCCGACUGGGCCAUGCAAUAGAGCACAAAGUCAAGAUAGACGGCCAUCAAACAAGACAGCCUCAAAUGUCAUACAGGCUUUGUUUGAAGGCCAACCAUAUCAUAAAAAUGGCUAUCAAGUGUUGCAUAGUAUUCUUCGGUCUAAAUAGCAUACUGUAGAGAAUUAUAGGUCGUUCUUGUUGCACCGGGGAAGUAAGGAUGUUUAGAUGAGCAGUUCUAUUGCAUUAAAUAAAGGGAAUCUUUAGGAUGGUCUUUGGUUGAAGGUGCUUGGAGAUUUUUCGUUUCCAACCAUGUACGCUUCUCAAUCACUGUCUAUCAUAUGUGGUUCACUCUUUCCAUGCAUGACACAUUUUUUCCAAAGUGUGCUGCGUUAGAAAUUGGGUACGAGUCAAGAUUCUGAUAUACUUUUUGUACAUUGUCUAAGGUGAAAUAAUUAAUACAGUCUUAAAGACUUAAGCUAUAAUAAAUUAAUAUUGCAACUAUUAAGUAGCAAGCCAAAGCUUUAGGGCAGAUAAUUCAAAUCAAUGUCUAUGCUUAAUGCACCUAUAUAAGGGCAACUUAUUGGCCAUCCAUUGCUUUUCAUCUAUAUUGUCAUAAUCCGUGCAAACAUGUGUUUAGUCCUACAUCGGUUAUUCACUGAAUAAAUCUUGAUAUUUAUACAGAAUCAAAGAAUCCAAAUAAUACCUUUCGGCUAGUCAUUUUGGAUGAGAUUUUGGAAUUUGAAUUCUUAGCUUAACAGGAACGUCAGAGCUUGAGCGAAGAAAAUAUGUUAGAUUAAGAAACUUAAAUAAUAUCUUCCGACUAGUCAUUUUGGAUGAGAUUCUGGAUUCAUAUUCACUCUCCUAGAUCUAUCUCUUUUUUCUUUCAACUUUUUUCGCUAAGUAUUUUUUGAUUUUUUCAUUAAAAGAAAGAAAUUACGGUCAAAUGAAUCCCAACCGUAAAAAGGUAUCCGCCAUAUUGAUCUACAUUUUGUAAGGGACUGCCCACCGGCUGCAUGUAGUCAAAAAAAAAAAAGGGGGUAAUUGUUUAGUUAAAAAAUAACAAAGUAAUUGCAGUGGAGAAGGUAAAGUCAUGCUAUAAUUAGGGGAGAAAAAUCCCCCAAACUUGUCAUCAGACCUAUUACAUGCUUAUAAGUUUUUCCAAAAUUGAUGGUUAGAACGCAAGUGAUCAACUGGACAUUGAAUGGCAGAGAACGCGGCUUGGGCAAAUUCACGUUUGAUGUGUUGUCGUGUUCCACGUGCUCUGUAGGUAUCUUUUUUUUUUUUCAUUAACAAUGGAUAAUUACUCGUCGCUGUGUUUGAUAGGUAUCCCUUGAUGCAACCCCUCAGCAACUUAUUUCUUGUAUAGCCCAAUACAAUUUUUUUUCCUAAAAUUAACUAUUUCUAAUUAAGUCUUGUUUUUAUUGUUGAAGCUUUAAAUAAUUACUAAGUAGCAAAAAUAUCAAAAUCACAAAGGUUUAAAAAUAAAAGAGAAUUCUUAGUAAAAACUUGUCUUACCAUGAAUAUCGAUUAAGAAACUUCUCAAAUCCUUCUUUAUCAAUAUGGUAGUAGAAAGGACGACAUUAUUUUUUGUGUGCAUGAUAAUAAGAAAACUUCAUUAAGACUAGAAGAUAUAACCACAAACAUCGGUUCGGAGCUUAUUUUUUGAAUCAAGGGAAAAAUCAUCAGGCCCCUAAAGGACUAGCACCCGAUCUCAUAAAUACGAUAAGCUCGUACAAUUAUAUUCUUGAUUGCUAAGAAGUUGGGCAACUCAAAACCAUUUUGUCACCAAAAUAAUUCUAGCAUUGUUCCAUUUCUAUGGCCAACCAAUCAUUACCAUGGUCAAAACUCAGGAGCUAAAAUCUAGAGAAGCAAAUACUACACCUAGGCUUACACAUAAAUCACUCAUGUUAUGCGAACAAGAUUUGGUUCGAAAUUAGAAUUGGAAUGAAAAUCGGAGCAAUUAUAUUUCUCGAUAUAUUUGGCUCAUGAUUAAAAUUGAAAUCAAAAUCAAAAUAAAAUUUGACUACUUAAAAAAAUAGAGAUUUGAUUUUGAAAAAUUAGAAUAUUUUUAUUUCUCAAAUUAGAAUGAGAAUGAAAUUCUUUGCAAUCAAAUGGCUGGAUUGAAAGUCUUUUGUUUCUAUUUGUAUUUUAAGUCUAAAUCCUCCUAUUUAUUCAAACGGCCGUCAGAACCGUAGUUUGGUACUCGACGUGCCUCAAAAUUCUAGAGAAAGAUUGAGAUUGAUGGCACCUGAUCCUUUACCUAAACAGGCAGGGGCAAUUCGGUAAGACCAAAAGCUCCCUCCAUCCGUAUUUUCUUUGACAGGGCCAAUUCGGGAAUACUAAAUCCGGAGCAAGGUGUCCAAUUCGUCCAAUUCGGGAGAGAGAAGGUUGUUUUCUUCCCGCAAGGAGCACGAGCGAGAACAAUAACCGAUCAGGAAGGCCAAGAGCUCCCUCGAGCCCUCAACGAGGGUCCAAAAUACUAGAGAGAGAGAAGUUUGCGAUGUAUGUACGCGGACGCUUGGAGGAUAAGCUGAUAAGCUUCGCUGGGCGGCAUCUUUCGUCCCUCCUCCGUUCCCAAGAAGGCUCUCCCACGUCACGACCCGACCUAAUUUAGAGAGAGAAACGAAACCCAAAAGAAUAAGAAAGCCCAACAAAAGGAUCGGAGAUAGGCUAGAGAUAGAGAGAGAAAGAAGUCUUAUAUUGUCCGCUAUUGAGAAACCGUGAUUUCGAUUGGAUUGAAGCGUGCGUGGGGGCUGCAUUCAUCACCCCUUUCCCCUUCCCCUCCUCCCUCAGUCUCCCCCUUUUCCUUCUUUCCUAAUUCCAAUUUCGUGGAGAGAGACCCUAGUAGUUGAUCCUUGUUUUGGCGGUUCCGAUCUUCUUUUCGUCACGUAUUUCGUCUUUGUUCUUUGAUCGAUCGACUGGGCGAUGCGAGUCGGCCUGUUUUCUUGUUUUCCUGAGUAAUCGGUAGGGAUUCGAGAGAUCGGAAGGGGUUUCGUUAUUUUUUUUGGGAUUGCUGGGUUUUUCCCUUUCUUUUUCGUUGUAAAAGUCUGAUGUUUUAGGGUUAGGGUUUCAAAUUGAGGUGGGCGUUUCUUGAAUCUGGCUGCGGCUAUGGAGCCUCGCGUGGGGAACAAGUUCCGGCUCGGUCGCAAGAUCGGGAGCGGGUCUUUUGGGGAGAUCUAUUUAGGUAUGUACUUGGUUUUAAUUUGGAUUUGAGUUUAGUACCUUAAAGGUAUUUUUGAUUGUUAUUUGUUCGAUAUUUGCAGGUACUAAUGCCCAAACGAACGAGGAGGUUGCCAUUAAACUCGUGAGUAUUACCUCUGGACAGACUUUGGCUUUUGGAUUAGGUUUAUUUUUGUUAUUCGUGGUGUAAAUCAGUUGAUCGCUAAAUUUAUUUGCUGGAAAAGAAAAUUGUUAGAGUUGAUGAAAUAAUUGGCCUGUUGUUUUAAUCGCUUUCUGUCCACUUGCACCUUCUUUUUUCCCCCUCUCGCCUAAUUUAUUAUUCCUUCUUAGUUGGACCUGUUUAGCAUAGGUCCUUGGUUUUCGUUGAAAUUUGUGGGCCUUUUCACAAGUUUUGCUGGGGCUCAAAUGAUGCAGAUGUAUUCUUUUUGUUGAUUUUCAUCAUAAGAUGUGUAAAGAAAUUCAUAAGGAACCACCAUCAUAAUCAUAACCUUCACUACCAAACCAUCACCGUGUCUCGACCUUUGCGUUGGCUUUAUGAAUCUUUAUAUACCAAUAUUUUCUCUAAGGACCAAGUCUAAGUGCAAAAUAUUUCUGUAAGCUGAAAUUGCUUUCGUAGUUUCCCAACUAUAAUUAAAGUAUGAUAAAAUUAUUGAGCUGGUGGGCCACAUAUUGUGGAUGGACUUCUUCAAAUUUUUGUUUCUGUAGCUGUUCACCUUUUUAAUCCUCCUAUUAAUGUGUUUCAUACUGAUGUAUUAGUGCACUGUGACUGCAUAACAAGCGAGGAAAAGAAAAAAAAUCUUUAUUUUCAGGUUUUCCUUUAUUUUUUGUCAUUCCUAUUUUUUCAGAAAAAGCCAAUACUCACUUCUAUUGGCAUUUUCUUUAUAAAAUUGUCCCCCUUAAAGAUUUGUCAUCAUGUUUAUAUAAUGGAGUUAUGGGGUCUUUCGAGGGUUUGGCGGGAAUUGUUAGUUUGCAUUUUUCAUUUUUAAUGCUUCAAAUCCUGUCCUUGCUGCUAGCCUUUGUUUGCAUUAAAAUGACCAUACAUGGUAUCUUUUUUAUCAGGAAAAUGUCAAGACAAAGCAUCCCCAGUUGUUAUACGAAUCAAAACUUUACAGGAUACUGCAAGGAGGGAGUAAGGAGGCAUUUCUUUUCCUUUUUAUUGCCACUUGAUAUUUAAAAAUUCUUAUUAGUUUUAUUGUUAUUUUCUUAUAUUUGAUUGUGGCAGCUGGGAUUCCGAAUGUGAGAUGGUUUGGUGUUGAAGGUGAUUAUAAUGUCCUUGUGAUGGAUUUACUUGGGCCAAGUCUUGAAGACCUUUUUAAUUUCUGUAGCAGAAAGCUAUCUCUAAAGACUGUUCUGAUGCUUGCGGAUCAGAUGGUAUAGUAUUAACUUCAAUGUGCUUGUAGUGAGUUUUCAUAGAAUCAUAACUGUGAAAUCUUAUCAGAAUCUUAUUGUUUUGGAGUAUGCUUCAUGGAUACUUUAUUGCCCCAAUAAUUAUACUAGGAUUUACAUCAGCUAUUUCUGCUAUAAGUUUUCAAAAUCCUGACAUCUCCCAGUUAUUUUAGGUGUUUAGUUUCUCUCUUAUCUUCCAUCUUAAGAUUUUUGACUACCCUUUUAUUGGGUUUCCUCAUAUCUCACUGGACAUGGUAAUACCAUAUUCACUUAAUCCUUUUCAUCUUGCCUUCAGUAGCUCAAGUUCUUUGCAUCCUCUAAUGUAAUCAUUCCUGACUUCACCCUUGUUCACAAUGCGUUAACCUUAACUGCUAGUCUUUAACACUCUUUUCUUGUGUGGUUACAGCAUAAUUUUUUUAUGAAAUAAGGUUGUGUUUGUCAUUUUUUUUUGUUUGCUUGUGAUAUAUUUUUUCUUAUCCCGCUUCAGAUCAACCGAGUAGAGUUUGUUCACUCUAAGUCCUUUCUGCAUCGAGACAUCAAACCAGAUAAUUUUCUUAUGGGUCUAGGACGGCGAGCUAAUCAGGUGUGCCAUGAAGUUUAUCCUUAUCCUAGUUGAUUAUAGUUCUGUUCAUGAUAAAAUUUGUAAUCUGUUUGAUCUUGCUGCUGUUGUACUUUUCUAUAGGUGUACAUCAUUGAUUUUGGCCUUGCCAAGAAGUAUAGAGAUACUACAACUCACCAGCACAUUCCAUAUAGGUAAGAUGCUGGAAUAUUUAAAAUUUGUGAAAAUAUUAUCUUUAAAAUUUUUGCAUUGUUUGUCUGAAAGUGGAAUUCCUUUCUGUUAUGCUUGCUAAUGAUUGAAUGUGAAGAUCCUCUUAUCAUAGUCCGUUGAAAAGUAUAACAUUGGGUAUGCACACAAUUUUUGAAUUAAAUAUAUUAAAAAUUGUCCCACUUCUUCUACCAUCUCUCAUGAAACUUGAAGGAGGUUUUAAUUCUCUGAAAUCAAGAUUCGAGCCUAGGUAAGUUUUAAGUAUAUAUUUAUGAACUUUUUGAUCUUUAUUGUCUUUGUGCUUUAUUACAGCUUGUUUCCCAUUUUUAAACUAUAGUGCUGUAGAGCAAUUUGAUAUUGUGCUUUGCUAUAUUGUCAUGAUUUUGAUGUAAAAAAGUUUUAUUGAGGAUGAAAGUGGAUAAUAUUAAAAUUCUCUUUGCUUGCUUGCUUCAAGAGGAAAAGUGCAUUGGGUAUAAAGCCUUCUAAAUUUUUGUGUAGUAGUUAAGUUUCAUAUGGGGUAAAUGCAUUUUAAACUAUCUUUCAUUGUGCAUAGAAAUAUUUUUAGCUGCUACCAUCUUUGCUGGAUUUGGUCAAUAGCCAUAGGAUACCAUCCAGUGUUAUAUUUCUGGAAAUAUGAUGAAUAUUGCUAUUUAUUAUGGUUUGAGAAGAAAAGGUUGAUACUUCCCUGAUUUUUGUUUUUUCUUUCUGCUGUUAAGUGGCAUUCGAAGCUCUUGUUAUAUUCUUAUGAAAAAUAUCUAGGGCAUAGCUUUCAUCAUGGUGAAAUCCUCAUAGGAUUAGGAUUACAUUGCUUCGUCUACUUGCCCUUUAAGGAAUGGUAAUGAUUUGGUUAUGGCUCAUCCAGCAGUCGCAAAAAUGCAAUGAGAUAUGUCAGUGAUAAUGAUGCCUGAAGAUAUGGUUUAAUUUUGUUUAUGUUCCUCUACAAAAAUAAGCACUACUAUCGGCUUUCAUAGCCCCUUUUCUUCGUGACUAAGAUGCUGUGAUUGCAUUACAUGUUAAAAUUCUUAUUGAUGUUCCUUUGUCUUCUGGUAGCAAAGCUCAAUUGACAUGUUCUCAUGGAAUUUCAUAGUGGCAUGAUUGAGUUGGUUCGAAAUUAAUUAUUCUAUGAAAAAUUUGGUCUUGAUUGUCUACACAUCUAAAGAGGAAAAGUCUGCUAAAACAUUCUUACUUUUUGCCAUUCAUGGUCUAUUCUCCAUUUCUUGUUGUAUAACAGGGCUAUAUGCAUUUUCUGGUAAUAUAAUGGUUGUUAAAAUAGAUUACUUCCAAUACUUCAAGUUGAAGUUUUGUCUCCAUUCCAUUCUCUUUUGUAAGGGAGGUUUGGAAUCUCAGAGCAAGUUAUCAUGAUUGUUCAAGUUUAAUGUUCUUUAAUGUUGCAUUAGAUGGUAGUUGAAGUGUCUAAGAAUCACUUAUUGUCUGGUUUUACCUGUUGCAGGCACUUUCAUUGUCGGAUUCCUUGGUUAGGCCUGCUUAUGGCGAUGGUUAUAGAAUCUUAGUAACAUUGGUUUGUGGUUUUUCAUAGUAGGCACUGGCAUUGUAGGAUUCCUUGCUUUCCUUCUCACUGUCAUGUGACAUAUCUGAUUGAUUUAUUAAAAAUUAUCUCAGUUCUUGUUGUUGUUGUUCUUUGUUUCGGGGGCUCUGGGUGGGGAAAAGCCUAAAUUAGAACCUUUUAUAGUCAUAGUUAGUGGCUAUUCACUUUAAUUUUAGUUUGCUUCCAAUUCAGCUGCUGUAUGAUCUUGGUAUACCCUUGCUAUUUAUGCAAGUUUUGAGCAUACCAGUCCAAGAGCAGUUGAAAUGUUGGUUUAUCUUUUAUAUAUGAUGACAUUUUAUUUCUGCCUAGUUGAUGAUUGGAGUGAUAAAUUUUAGGCUAUAUAGGACAGCUGAAAUUCUUUGAUUCUACUUUUCUAUGAGCACUUGCAAUCCUUCAUGCACCAUAUCUUGCAACACUUAGUGCCUCAUUGCAUACAUUCACAUCAAAGUUGACUUUCCUCCACAAUGCCUUAUCUUAUAUGGUAGACUAAUAAUUGAGAUCUUUUAGUUGGGGAGCUUUAUGUCAUAUGUUCACCAGUACAUUUUACAGUGUUUUUUCAGCAGUAACAAAGCAUUGCUGUUGUAAUUACGGUUGCACUAAUUAUUAUUAAGUUUUCCUCCCCUUUUUCCCAUAUUGCUGGAAGCUUAGUGGUGUAUAUUCAGUGUUACAUUCUUUAAUAUAUUUUAUUGCCUCGUAUUGGUUUACUCUUAUAUUUAUAGUUUUUUGAUAGAUUUAUGGACAAUCUGAAGAAGCAUGAUGAUUCAUAGUUUGACUGCUUCCCUUUUUUAGUUAUUCCUUUUCUUUGCCCAACAUUGGGUGCAUGUUCUAGAGCAUUUACUUAUCUGGUCAAAAUGAACUUAAAACUAGCUUGUUCUGUGGAUACCAUACUUGUAAAUCUUGUCAGUGGUUUUUCACGUCUGUCAGUUGAAUCUUUGAAUUGCAUUGCACGCCUUUAAUUGCUAGAAAAUUGUUGAAACCCCAUUAGUUGCAUUCUCAUGUUAUGUUUAUGUCUAAAAUAUUGCAGAGAGAACAAAAACUUGACUGGGACAGCAAGAUACGCAAGUGUUAACACCCAUCUUGGCAUAGGUAUGUGUAAUGUGUGGGUGUGUGUGGGUGCGCACAUGUGCAUAUAUAUUUAUGUAUGUGAGUGUAGUUGGCUUACACACUAUAUGUUAACUGCUUGAAAAAGGAGUUAACAAUUUAAAAUUAAUGAUGGGCUAUAUAAAUUCAAAAUCCAAAUCAUCGAACAUGAUCCACGCUGUAAAAAAUGCCAAGAAACAAAAAUUCACAUAUUUUGAUGGCCUAAAACUUAAUCAUCGAGUAGUUGUAUAAUGAACGGUUGAAUCUCAUGAUGCUAUGUUAUACUAUGAUCUAAUCAUCAAAGCCUAGUGAAUUUGAAUCUACCAUGUUUUAAGAUGUGCAGAUCAUGAUCUGAUGGAUUUUCAAUUUAUGUGCCCUAUCGUGUAUUUUACCAUAGUGUGAUUGAUGUAGUUCAUUUUUGUACAGAGUAUGGUUCGCCGUACCGGCCCGAACUGGAUGGUACGAGGCUUACUGUACCAGUUCGGUACCUGUACCCGAUAUGUGUGGCGUAUCGACAUUUGGUACGCCAAAAGGUCCCCAUAUUGUACCGUACCGAUAUAGUACUAGUGUGGUACUGGUACGGAGUCCGGUACCGAGGCAGCGAACCUUGGUACUAGGUUAUGCAUAGGUUAGAGACCACCAAAAGAUAUAAUCUUUGUUUUUUAGUCAUUUCUUGCUCCGUGUAUUUGUUCAACAGUUUGGAUCUUGAAUUUGGACAGUCUAUCAUUAAUUGUAAAAUUGUUAAAUCCCUUUUCAGAGAAUUAACAUAAUGUGUGUAGUCAAACUCAUAUAUAUCUAUGUAUCUCUCUAUCUAAUUAUCUAUUCAUAUGUGUGUGUGUGUGUAUUCGCAUAAGUUUGUAAUUACUUUCUGCUAAUAUACUAAAUUUUUAAUCUCUAUCCAAUGUUUAUCUAUUGCUGUUUAUACUUGAUUUUUCCUAUAUUAUGCUACAUUGAUCAAAUUCCAUGUUUGGUUGUGACUAUUGUGUGAUUUUUUUGGCUGCUAAGAACAAAGCAGGAGGGAUGAUCUGGAGUCUCUUGGAUAUGUCCUCAUGUACUUUUUAAGAGGAAGGUAUGCUUUCUUGUUUGGACUNNNNNNNNNNNNNNNNNNNNGUUGUGACUAUUGUGUGAUUUUUUUGGCUGCUAAGAACAAAGCAGGAGGGAUGAUCUGGAGUCUCUUGGAUAUGUCCUCAUGUACUUCUUAAGAGGAAGGUAUGCUUUCUUGUUUGGACUUUUUCUUCUUUUUUUUAAAUUUUUUUCUCCUCUUUGCUAUCCCUAAUAAAAACCCUGGUCCUCUGGUUUCAGUCUUCCAUGGCAGGGUUUAAAAGCAGGAACCAAGAAACAGAAGUAUGAGAAAAUCAGUGAAAGAAAAGUUGCCACAUCAAUUGAGGUAUAUUUUUAGCUUGUAUCAUAAACUGCAGUUCGUAACUUUUUUCUUCCUUUUAAUGGAUAAAUUGAUCCAAUUGUUCAGGCUUUAUGUCGGGGAUAUCCUUCAGAGUUUGCAUCAUACUUCCAUUACUGCCGUUCACUACGUUUUGAUGAUAAGCCAGAUUAUGCAUAUCUUAAGAGAUUAUUUCGGGAUCUUUUUAUCCGUGAGGGUGCGUUUCACUUUUCGUAUAUCUUUGACGGAAAGACUGGAAGAUUUGUUUAUUUACCCAAUUAUUUUAUUUCUGAACUGAGAAUCUGUGAAUGCCGCUUCUUGUCCAAGGUUAAUAUUGUUUUUAUGUUUGUUCUUCUGCAGGAUUUCAGUUUGACUAUGUGUUUGACUGGACCAUAUUGAAAUAUCAGCAGUCACAGAUUGCCAGUGCUCCUCCGCGUGCUCCUGUUAGUUCUGUGCAGAAUUUGUUGUUUCCGAUUUCACCUUGUUUCUCUUUGUACUUGAACAAUUGCUUAAUCUUUGUUUCUUUUUCAUUAAUUUGUUCUCAUUUUAGGGUCCUGGUGCUGGACCUAGCUCUGGCUUGGCCCCUGCAGUUGCCAACGAGAGGCAGUCAGGUAGCCUAUUUUGUCAUUUAUCAUACAUUCUUAUUUUCAAUUAUGCAAAUAAAUCUGCAUAUUUUCUACAUGGUCUUAUACUGAUGUAUUGUGCAGUUUAUGAUUCAUAUUCGCAUUGGCCUUUCAUGUACUAGAUUAGAAGUUCUUUAGUUUGUGUACAUGAUAUUACUUACAUGUUGUUUACCUAUUCUUGCAUGACUUGCUUUUUCCCCUACAUCUUUAGAGGUGUGAGUUUUGCUGCUGAAAAUUUUGUUCUAGGUGGUGAGGAAGGAAGAACAAGUGGUUGGUCAGCAAUGGAUCCCUCUCGUCGACGAGCUCCAGCUCCAGCUCCGGCUAUAAAUGCAGGCAGCUUGUCGAAGCAGAAAACGCCAAUUGGAAAUGAUCCAGCUGCUACUAAAGAUGUUAUGGUGAGAUCUUCCUAUUCCACAUUGUUAUCCAUCUUCCUAUUCCACAUUGAGAUCACUGAAUAUAGUCUGCAAAGGGUUUACGAAGAUAUAUCUUGCUAAAAUAUUCAAAUCAUGACCGAUGAAUUAUUCACAAAGUCUUUAGAUCAAGGUUUAAAAUAUCAGAUAUAUUCGAUCGUAUUCUACAAAUGGUUACUUAGUUAUUAUAUGCACUACGGAGAUAUAUCUUGCCAAAAUGUUCGAACCGUGACUGUUGAAUUGUUCAUGAAGCCUUUAGAUCAAGGUUUAAAAUAUCAGAUAUAAGUUCUAAUUCUGAAAAUAUGCUACAGUAUAGCUUAUCAACGUGCAAACAGCAGAAUAUAAUAUAUCAGGUCGUCAAACAUUGAGUUAUCUUCGAACUUAUCUUUAAUAUAUAAGUUCUUGUAUCGAGACAUUUUAAUUCUUCUAUAAUCAGGAGUCAUGCUAGUGCUGAGGUAUCCAUUGGAAUUUGGAACAAAUAAUACUAUGGUUGUAGAUUUUCUAAAAUACAUGGGAAGACAUCUGAAGCCUUCACAUUUUUUCCCCCUUAGAAAUGCUUGCUGUAGGAUUUCUAGAUCCACCUGUCGAAUCAAUGUUCUCCUUCAUGUUUUGUAGCUCAAGAUUUUGGAGAUUGCAAUAGGGCUAAGGCUCAUAAAUAUUGUGGAAUUGCAUCCAAAGCGGUAGAUGGUGUGAGAUGACAUCAGAGUCGUGGUCUGAUUUCAAGUGUUUUCACAUGUGUGGUUGUAUUUGAGUAUAAGAUGAAGCAUCAUGAGAGGAUUAUGUAGGGUACUUGUUUAUGCAUAUUUCACCUACAAAUUUGCUUCCUUUGGCCUGCUUCACUAUUUUACAGUCCCACCAAUUCCAGCUUGUCGAAAUGAUAUAUUAAAUAAAACUUCAACAUUGACUUUUACUGUUUCCUGUUCAAGAUUCGUCACAUUCUGCUCUCAACAAACUAUAUAUUUAUAUAGGUUUCACCCUUUGGGAGGCGAGCUUAACUUGCAGUUUUUACCUCUCAAGUUUGUGGUUAGAGAUUCCUGAUAAUAUCCAUCCAAUUGAGCAUUAAUACUAGGAAGAAAGCACAUGCCCAUGAGAAUGAUAUCUCUCUAGAUGAUCAGAGAAAGAUAUAUUUUUGAAAGAUCUUUGAUUUUUUUCCUAGAUCUGGCAUUUUUUCUGCUUCAUGUUUUAUGGUUAUCCUAGAUAUGGAUUUCUAGUAGGCAUCUCGCAUUUGUAUGAGUCCGAAUAGUUGAAUACGCAGUUUUCUUCCUUUUUUUGUAUUUUUUUGGGCACAUUCUUUUAUUUUGACAGCUUUCCCCCCCUCCCGCUGAAGGCUCAUCGUCAUUCUCUAACAAAAAUAGUUUGAAUUGAUCUCCAAGGUCUGGUCUGGAAAUGGGAUAAGGGGUGGGAUAAGGCAUUUAUCGUUCUUUAUCUCUAGGGUCAUUUCAUGGUGCAGUGGUAAAAGCCUUGCGCUCACAAACCCAAUGACAUGGGUUCGGGUCUAAGCAGCCACUGUGUCAAAAAAAAAAAAGAACAAAAAGAGCAAAGGUAAGGUCAGACCCAGUUUGCCCCUCCCAGAGCCCCAGAUUGCCUGAACAUAAUUGGGUAAUGCGGAAAUGGAAAAUCCUUGGGGUAAAUGCUAAACAGACGAGAUUGUGGGGUGGAACAACUGAUCCCCGACAAUUUGACCAAACUAGGGAUAAUUGGGAGUUGCUGAUUCUAUAGGGUUUCUAGAAUUUCACAGUCGCCGCACUCUCCCCAUGUUUAUCACCACUUGAUUUGUGAAAAUGGCAAAAUAGAAAAAAAAUCUUUCCUAGCAAAACGUAAUCACAAAGAGCAUAUAUGUCUUUUUACCCAAAUAAUAACCAGCAUAGGUAUGAUGGUUAAUGGGGUUAAAAAGCACUUGUUGCCAAUGCAAAUUUGAAUUAUCCUUACUAAUCUUACUUUGUUCGGGAACUGGCUGUACCUAGUGGGGAUGACGACAAAGUUGGAUGCCCGCCCUACCAGCAUCAGAGCUGUAAGGCAAAUCCUGAACCUGUAUCCAGCUUAUAAUUAUCACAAAUUGACUGCUGUAUGAUUGUGAAAGUUUCUGGAAUGUAGCAUGUAAUCUACCAGCUUUAAGGUUAUAGUGCUUUUUAGCGUCAUUAUCUGUUAGGGUAUCACCAGGUUGAGGGAGGUCUAUUAGGAUAUUUUAUUGCGAGAGGGAGUCAAUGCACUUAAUAUUCCUGCAGGUUUGAGCUUGUAAAGUUUCAUCUACUUUUGAUGCAUUAUCUGUGUGUUCUGAAUAUAGUGAUCUAGCGGUGGAUAUAGCUAGAAAUGUAGUGUUGAAAUUAGGAAAAUUCUUGCUGUUUCUAUUUCCUGACCUAUCAACCAUUUCUUGAUCAACUACAUCAGGAUUAAGUAUAUUUGUAACCAAUCAUGUGAUUCGGUAGGCGUGUUGCUUUACUAGACGUAUUUAGUGUUUGCCAUGUAAUUCCUGACCGUGGAUGCAUAUACCAUAUAGUUAUCCAGUUCAGCUUUUUUGGGGCGGUCAAGCGGAUCUUCAAGGCGAGCUGCUGUUUCUAGCAGCCGGGACGCUGUGGCCGGUGAGUCUGACCCAUCUCAGACUCGUACUGCUGAGGCAAGCCCUGGGACAUUCCGCAGAUUUUCUGGUGCUCAGAGAAGUUCCCCUGUUAGUUCUGCAGAGCACAAGCGAUCUCCAUCUGGUAGGCCAUCGAACAUCAAGAACUAUGAAUCCACCCUUAAAGGCUUCGAGUGCCUUAAUUUCAACAGCGACGAGAGGGUUCAGUAUUAGUGUUGAUUCUAGUCAAGCUGCUGCAACUUAUGCUUCGUUCACUCUGUAUAAAAACAUCGUAAACUGGAGAAACAAUAUGCUCGGGCAUGUUUCCCAUCAGUCAAAUGUGGGAAGCUGUUGGGUUGACUGGUGAUUUGAGAAAGUGCCCUAAAGAUGGUGCAAAAUAAGAGAAAGGCAGUUCUAAGGAGUUGGGACACCUAACCGUGCCGUUGCCAUGGUAAGGCUAUUUGUACAUUGUGUCCUGAGUUAUUGCUAUGGCUUCCUCCUUGAUGUAAUCCAUGUUAUUUGAUUAUAUUUCUUGGAUUUUAUUUUUCCGCUGAAUCCACAUGCCACCUGUUUGCGUACGAAAUCAUUUGAUUUAUUGUAUUUAAUCAACAAUGUGAGGACUCCAGGUGUGUUAAAUUACCUGUGUGUCUGCCUGCUUGAGUAUGUGUUAUUGCAUGCCUGGAGCUUCAUGUAUUUGUUUGUGGUACUUGAUUCUCGUGCUAUAAUGUAGGCCUUAUUGAGCAACAUAUUUCGUUCUUAGCGAACCUUGGUUUGGUUUGUUCGAGCUCCUUGUUGCAAAAUUGUGUCAGUCAGGUAAGGGAUUGGGGGAGUUUCUUUCCAGCGCAAAGGUCAAGGUUCAGCUGCUGUCAUCCGAAAGCAGAUGUUUUGGUGAAGUAUUUGAGUUUUCUUUUGAAAACGGCAAUUCAUAUACCUUAAGUACAUUCUAUCAAGUCAUAAGAAAGUAAAAAGUACAAUGAGGGUGGUAAAUCAACUACGGAUGUCCAAAGAAUUUUUUCAGAAUGUUGCGCAAUAUAAGGGGCGAUCUAGUCUGUUGCUCUAUUCGCCUUUCGGAAUACAUGUGCAUUUGGAACUCAUCCAACUUCAUACCUAAUCUAUGAGUCUUACGAAUAAGAGGAUGACUAUCUCCAUAUUUGUUCGUAUUCAGGAUCCAAUCGAUCACUAUUGAUGAGUCCUUCUCGAGGUAUGCUAGCUUGGCACCAAGAGCCUGCCUCACGUAGGAUUUAUCUAUCAAGCUGCCCGCAGUUCUGCUCCAACUGCAGUAAGUUCUGUCGUACUACGUUCCCCAGCAAUAACUAGCCUACCAAAGUGGUCUCUCAUUAUAAAUUCUACACCUUCGGACAACUCAUCCAUCAACAUGCUACCAUCAAAAUUUAUUUUGAGAUGGCCAAGGGGUGGGGGCAUCCAAGAAACAAGAGCAAAUCUGGGCGCUGUAGCAGCGGAGAGAGUACCCCAGAUGUCUCUGACCAUCCUAGGAGAGAACAUAGCAACACAUGAAAUAACCUUCCUGGCCUGAAGCACGGCUCUAUCCACCACCAUCCUCGAAGACAACUUCCUGCCCUCAAAUAGGCCCGCAUUCCUGUCCAACCAAAUAUGGUAAGCUAGAUAUGCUCUAAGUAUCCUCGCCUCAGCAAAACUAGGACUCUGCAAUGAAACUCUCAGUAGAUGUAAUAGGUCAUGUGAUGACUCCACCCAAUGGGGAAGAGGGGCUGGUGAUGUCCUCCAUAUCUUUCUAGCCCUGAGGCAUUACAAAAGAAUAUGCUCAAUAGUCUCCUCGCUGUCCGUACACACCUCACAGCACUGAGAAAUCUGCACACCUCACCGAGCUAGCACACUCCUGGUAGGUAAGCAACCCCAGGCCACCUUCUAAAUGAAAAGCGUCACCCGCAAGUGAAUCUGCAUCCUCCAAAUCCAUCCUUCCUCGAUCUGCCGGGUCGGCUUCCCACUGAACAGAGCCUAGAGAUCCCUCGCACGCACCUGAGAUCGGCCCGACAGCACCCAUACUAACAUGUCGAACGCUCCCUGGACAGGAACUGGGAGAGCCAGGACCAUCUUAGCCAGCUGCUCCCCAAACACCUCUCGAAUCAACUCCUCCCUCCAACGUCCCUCAACAGAGUCCAUCAAAUUGCUAACCAUGCAACCAGCUAAUUGCACUGAGUCCACCAUGGUCAGCAGGCGGCUGAUCGAUUGUGAGAUCACCUAGCAAUCCUCCAGCACAUCAAUGGACCGGCCAUCACCAAUAACCCAUCUGACCUCCGGGAGGACCAACAUGGCUCUUGCGCACAUCUCCCUCCACACCGGUGAAUGGUGACCGGCCACUCUCGCUUCAGGCAGCAAAACACCAUACUUGGCCCUCAUCAAUGAAGACCACGUACUGUCGGGCUCCAUCACAAAUCUAGCAACAUGGCAAGCCGCUAGGGCCUCCUGCCUAGCCAACAGGGACUGUACCCCCAAGCCCCCGAACCUGGUCGGCUGACACACCACCUCCCAUGCCAAUAGGUGGAUACCACCUCUACCUCCACUCCUCCCUCAGAUGAAGUUUCAAAGAGCUGCUCAAGAGUCCUCGGGACCCCCACUGGAAUGAGGGAGUUGGAUAGCAAAUAAAUAGGAAUCGAGGAGAGGACUGCCCGAACUAGGGUGAUCCUACCCAUCAUUGACAGUGAAUGCAUCUGCCAUCCCUCCAACCUGUGCCUGAUGCUAAGCUUCAGGUAAGAGCAAUCCGUACUAUAUAGUCGCCGACCAGAGAUUGAAACCUCCAGAUAUCUCAAAGUGCCUUCCUGCUCGCCUAUCCCCAAAAUCUCCAAAAUAGAGUGCCUCACCGUCCGUCUGAUCUUCGAACUGAAACAAAUUACUGACUUUGAUAAGUUGACCCUAUGCUUCGACACUGCACAAUAGUCACGAAGAAUCCUGUCAAUGACCCCAGCAUCUUGUCGAGUCGACCGGGCUAGCAGUAAACAGUCAUUAGCGAAAAGCAAAUGUAAGAUCAAAGUAGCCCUCGCCUCUGGCCUGUAAGCCUCCAACUCUUGAGUAAGUACCGCCUGUCGCAGAGCUCUGGACAAAGCAUAUGCACAUAUAAUAAACAGCAAAGGGGAUAUGGGGCAUUCAUGUCGCAACCCUCUAUAGGACUCAAAGAAACCAGAUGGCGUGCCAUUCACCAAGAUGGCAAAAGAAGGGACCCUGACACAGCAUAUCACCCACCGAAUCCAUGUCUCAUGAAAGCCAAACCCCUGCAAAGACUGCUGCACAAAAUCCCAUCGCAUCCUGUCGUAGGCCUUGUCCAUAUCGAGCUUGAUCCCCAUCAAGCUCCUCCUCAUCGGGGCCUUGCCCAAGUCAAAUAUAAACUUCUGGGCUAUAAGCACAUUAUCAGAAAUACUCCACCCUCCUAUAAAAGCUCCCUGCUCCGUACUGAUUAGCCUCGGAAGAAUAUUUCUCAACCUAACGGCAAGUAUCUUCGUCGUGGCCUUGUACAAGGUGGUACACAAGCUAACUGGUCGGAAGUGACUCGACUCAAUAGCAUCUUGCCGCUUCGGUAUCAAGAUGAUAAAGGUCCUCUGCCAAUCUGACGACAUCACUGUUGUACUGAAAAACUGAUGUAUAGUUGCUGUCACAUCCUGUCCUACAAUCAUCCAAUACCUCUGAAAAAAUAUCGGUGGAAAGCCAUCCGGUCUCGAAGCCUUAUCCUCCUCGAGGGACCACAUCGCCUCCCUAAUCUCCCUCUCUGACACCGGUCUGAUCAGUGCCGCAGCCUCCUCCUCUGACACCCCAACCACAGGCCUCGGCAUCUUCGCCCAACUCCCAUCCCCUAACUGCUCCAUCCACUUUGCCCUGAAGAAGCUCUCCACAGCCCUCUGAAUCAUGACGGGGUCCUCCAACAGGUGCCCAUCCUCUCCCCUGAUGACUCUGAUCCUAUUCUGGUGCGUUCUGAUCACUGCCGUCUGAUGGAAAACCUUGGUAUUCCGAUCUCCCUCCAAAAUUCACUGGACCCUCGACUUCUGUCUCCGCAAUGUCUCUUACUGUCUAAGAAGAGAAUCAUGCAAUACCAAAUGCGAUCUGAGCACCCCCACCUCGCCAUCCGAUAGUCCUCCCCUAUGUGCCUCCUGAGAUUGUAACCUAGCAAUGGCCUCCUCUACCUCCUUUGUCCUCCUAAAAAUAUUCCCCACUUCCUUACGGUUCCACCUCCGCUGCCGCCUCCUCGUCAGCUCCAGCCUUCGAGAGACCCGGUACAUCGCAUAUCCCCUAACCGGGGCAUUCUAAACCUCCCUCACCAUCUUCCAGGACCGUGGAUAGCAUAGCCAAAACUUCUCAAAUUAGUACACACCAAUAGUGGACUAUGGUCCAACGCAAUCUUAAAUAGGUGUCUGACGUGAUGAUUCGGAAAGCACUAAACCCACCCAGCUGUAGCACAAGUCAUGCACAGCUGAGUGUUUUGGCGAUCAAGUCGUGCACAUUCGGGCCACCUUCAAGUUGUGUUGGAUAGGACCAGUAGAGAAGCCCAUCAUGACCGAUGGCAGUAAACGUAGGCAUAAAGCUCAUAGGAUCGUUGGAUAAUAUGCUAAUGUAAAGCGAAUUUUGUAUAAUUCUGUCGUCAUCACUCAUCCGUGCCCGCCCGGCUUGAGGCUCCCGCGGCUACAUUUUUCCAUCCGACCAUCGCUGAACCAAUGUGGUCCCAAAAGCAUCGAGCCCUGCCUCUCCAAUGACCCAGUGGCCAGUAGUACUACAUGGGUUCUGCACAAGCCCCUUUAUAGGCGCUGGUGGCUAAUCUACUUGAUGGCCUAUGCGUCGGAUGAUGCGUAGCAAAUAGCCAUGGAACACUAAUCAUGGAAGCAACCAGGGUUCUGUGCAUGAUUUGAAUACAAAGAUAUAAUUAAUCAGGCAUGAAGUUAACUAUUGACCCUGGGACAAAGUUGGGCAUUUUUCAGCAUUCAGGUGUCUUCAAUCAUUGUGUAGCAGCAUGCUGGAAUUCUUUAGAGUCCGUAAAUCUUGACCGGCUCGACAUGUUUAACUCAACCGACCAGUGCAUCUACUUCUAAUAAAUUGACUUGGCAAGCGGCAAGACCGGUUCUCCGCAAUUUACUGCACCAGCGCGGCAAGGUCUACCCCAUGCGUUCACCACUACAUUGGCCUCCACUUAUUUCUUUAUCCUCCUCAAUUUUGCAACAAGCCACCAUCCCAUCCGUAUUAUCAAUAUAUGAUCUAUAUACCUACUUUAUAUCCUAAUCCCCAUCCCUACAUUGUGGGCCAGCUCGCGCUUUCAAAGUACCCUCCAGAUUCAUCUCUCCACUUGGCUCAUCUUAUGUUCUUUGACAUUUUGUAUGAAAAAAACUGGUUCCUGUCUUUUCUCAUGCAUGACCUUGAAUUUAGAAACAUAGAAAUUAUUUCUCCCUGAUUCGACAACUUUUGUGUUUCUUCUUGCGGCCUUUAUUUAAUCGCUCUCAGAUAGGAACCAAGCUGAGUAAGUAAUCUGCAUUUGAUAAAGAAAAUUCGAAAUGAAUAGGGGGCUAUUUUCUGCAUGCAUUGCUAUGAAGAAAGAGACGUGCAUUGCAGGAUAUGAAUUAUAAGAUUUAUAAAUCCCAUAAUAAGUCCAAAUCUUGGAUUUGUUGGAUCGUAUGCUCUCCAACUCUACCUAAUGAUCUUAGAUAAGCAGGUAGCGUCAGUUUUGAACCCAUAUGGAACCACUGUCAAGAGCAUGAUGUAAUAGAAAACCAAGUGGAAUUAAUUAAUGGAUUGGAGAAACUGCAUGUAUGCGCGAAGCCUGUAAGCAAGUCUCGCAAACAAACCGAACUUGGUUCAACUUUGAUCUGGCAUGACCUGUUCUGUUCUGAAAAAAUUAAGCAACAGCACCAUACAAUGUGUAAAUUACUACUUGCAUGUAAAAGCAAUAUUUCAGGAAAAUAUAUGACCAAAGUUUUGGCCACUUAGAUUUAUUAUGACCAAAGGUCAUGUAACAGAAGAACUAAUGGUGCAUUGAGUCCUUACGACCUGUUGAUGAAUGCAAGAUGUUGCUGAUGAGAAGUGGAUAACAUUACCAAUGAUAAUGCCGGUCCACAGCAGAGAAGGUGCUGAUUAUAAUGAUAGUAACUAGAGAUAUGAUAAUAUGGAACACCAUCACACAUCACACUACGAUUUGUUUAGGCUGAAAGGAGGCCGUGGUACAAUCAAACAAGACCAACAUACUCCUACUGAUCCCUGUCCCAUGAUGGAACCAGUCAUCGCCGGCCUUUGGAUGCCUGAAUAGUCCACAGACACACACCUCAUGGCUGAGGAUAUGAAAGGGAAUCCCACGUACAGCAACCAGAGACCCUUCACACCUCUUGCUUUCAGAGGUGCAGACCAGGGGGCAUCCCAAGGCCCACCAAACCCCUGAUAAGAGUUUAGAGCCAACGCCAACUUUAAGCUCCAGAUAAGCCCCAAGGCACCUAACAAACAAACAAAAACUUUCUGGACCAUCCAUUCUCCAUCGUAUGACUCCAUCCCCUGGUGUCUGCUAAAGUUAGGAUGGCUAUCGGUAGUCUCAAAAGUCUGCAACUUACACCAACAAAGAAGCAUAAUGAUGUGGUUUUUCAACAACAUUAAAGAUGUUUUUUCUGUGCGCACUUGCAGAAUUUUACAGAAAGUCUUCUGAAUCUGGAAACUAUAGAUUUAUGGGAUCGAUGCUGCUGCAUGACGAAACAUUAUCAGCAUACAGUGGAUUAUAUGGUCUGCGAGUGAUCUCUGAUAAGAUGCUGUUAAAUUCGUAAAAGGUGGAUCGAUACAUGGAAUGAUGCACAAGCAAAAGGAUUUAAUAGGACACUCCACACAGACCUGCAUUUUAACCUUUUCCAGAGCAUGAUGGUCAUUUGCCUGCUGAUAUAUUUCAUGAAGAGCUGAGAGUGGUUGUUCUCAGAUAUUCAAAGUCCCAAAUUGAUAUAUAAAUCUUCACAACUAGAGUCUUUCUUUCUUCAGGCCUACGGAGUAAUCCAUGGAACUGAAGUGUCAAAAUUAUCAGUCGGUGUAUAUAACCUUCAACACAGACAUUAGAUAUAUAAAUGAUAAAUUUUGCAUUAAAGGCAAAACUGAAGCACUGCGUCCUUGCACAAUGUUACUUAGAAGACGGGAUUCUCUCCCUGAGCAUGCAGGUCGGUAGGGAUACUACGGCUUAUAUCAGCUACAGCUGUGCUCAGAUCUUGACCACAAAAUUGCUGGUAAAAGUUUGUAGACAUUCAUUCUUCGCAUGAAAAAAUAAUGGAGGCAACGGUAAUUUUAUUAGGAUAUUAGAUGAUAGGAGAAACACGUCCUAUAAACAGCGAUGCCCAUGCAUGAGGCUUCUCAGAUAAUUGUUAAAGAAAGAAUCACAUUAGAAUGGAAAUAAAUGAUAUCAAGAAGGAUCGAGAUGUCAUGGUGAACUUGGUGCCUUUGAAUAACCUAGGCGUGCAAUCUCCCAGCUUUUACGUGGAGCAACCUCUUCGUGCAAUGGAGUGUAUUCCUGCAACUCAGAUGAAAGAACAAAAAUCAUCAAGAAGAAUAAGAAGUGAAACAACUGUUAGGAGUUAGGACUGUAAAUAUUGCUCCUUGCUGAGGCUAUCAUAGAAAGAAAUGCUGGAUAAAGUUGGAUUGACACAAAAGGUGAAGUAGGAAAAAAUAUUACAAAUUUAUAUAAUGAAACCUAGAGUGAGAGGGUAGAUAACCUCCAUUUUUUCUAGCAGUUCUUUUGCAGUUGGAGCAGAAACAACUAUGUGUCUAGCAGCUGGCUUAAUGAAUCCUUCCUUCACACCAUUGUCAAAUAGUGCAAGCAAGGAAUUGUAGUAACCAUCAACAUUUAACAGCCCAACCUGCACAAAUAGGAAUUGUAUUAUCACCUGUAUUUUGUUAAGAAAUUCAAAGAUGUUAAUGCAAGAGUUUGAAGUUAACCGGUUUAUUAUGAAUUCCUAGUUGUGACCAUGUUAUCAUCUCCAGCAACUCUUCCAUUGUUCCGUAUCCACCUUACAUAUUCCAAAGCAAAUGCAGUAUUUCAUCAGACAGAAGUAAAUGCAGUAAAUUCUUGAGACGUAACUAUUGCUUGCAAUUGUUUUCAAGUAAAACUUGACCAAGGAGCUGGUGAGGAUUUACCAGGAAGGGCGAUGAAUGCGUCAGCCUUUUGAGCCAUUUCAGCCUUACGCUCAUGCAUGUCGGCGACAGUUUUUACUUCACCAACAGUUUGGCCAGAUAUCUGGAAAAAGUUAAAUUUCCAGUCUUCAGCGCAUUAUGAAAGGAAUAACAAAGAGGGGAGGGUAGAUGGGUAGGAGUCGACGUCAGAUUGUGCUUUCCAUAAGGUACAUAUCCACUUAAAAUCAUGCAUCACAUUAAAUCUGGGAAAUGAAUGAAGUUGUCAUUCCUUCCAUAUUCAUUUAUAUAUAUCAAUAAUCCAAAAGCCCUUUCAUUAGAUUGCUUCUCUCAAAUACGAAGCUGAAAAUUCAAUGAAGAGCUGGCAGAUUAACUUCCGAGGGAUCCUUAUAUAUCAGGAGUCACUUUUUUUUCUUAUCAAUAAUAAGCAAAAGUCGGAGGAUAGCUCUGAAAAGUAUAUGUAAAAGAGUAUAAAAUUUCAAAACUCACAAAACCAGGAAUGCAUGGUACUGAAUUGAAGAUUAACAUAGUUUUAAGAUCGCAUCUAAUUAGGUCCAAGCCACCACCUUUAUAAUAUGGACCUCAAUAAAUCGGAAGGUAGGUACCAAAUUCCUAGCAUUUAUUAGAGUACUACAACUAUGAUUCCUCUUGGCCUUCCCCACGUUCAAUAUAUCUGAAAGCAGAUGAAAUCUACCUAUGCUUCCACCAUACCCGUUACAAAUAAACCACUGUGCUGCCUCCAUAUGGCCUUGCACAAGUUUAAAAACCUCUGAUCUAAGAGAUCAAAGGUAAUCUCUUAGCCAUAAGACAACGCUUGGAACCAAUCCAUUUCAAAGUGUAUGUGAGACCAAGGAAAAAGAUAACUACCGGGGAAAAAGUUAACAACUUGCUGUGCCUAUUCUUGUGGCAAAAGAUUUACAAAAUAGAAAACAUGGAGAUACAGUACAUGGCAGAAUGAACAAGAAGGUAAAGAAGAAAAGGAUACACAAAACAAUUACAUACCUCAAGGGGCAUGAGAGCUGUAGGAAUAACCCUGCACGAAUUCAUUCCAGUAAAUUUUAAACACAAGCAGUUGCAUUUAUUUAUUUACUUUUUCUCCAAAAAACACUAAUAAAGGGUUGGAAGAAAGAAAAGAAGCCACAGAAUAGCAAAAUACAAAGGCAAUAUCAAAAGGGCAAAGUUCCUGUGUAGUAACUACCCGAGGACAUGGCAGCCUCCAUCAUAUACUGUCUGAGAGAUCAGCCCCAUCAGUCCCGCGCUACCCCCACCAUAAACUAAAUCAAUUCUUCUCUUCACCUGUAAUCAUCCAAGAAAUGCAACAAAACAAUUGUAAAGACAAAAGCAAAAACAAAAUGCCACUCUAUCCAUCAUCCAAAAUCUAUACUGCGAUCCAGCUUAAAGAAGAAGAAGGAAACCGGAUUCACUGCAAUCGAAAACCAAUACCCAGGUCCUCGUAUCCAAUUUAAUUCACUUCAAGAUUAAAGUUUUAAGGUUCUUCAGCUCCCAAAAUCCAAUUUUUUGAUCACCCAGAUGGAGAAAAGAGAAGGAGCAGCAACGAGGCAUACCAGCUCGUGACCCAAAUCAAUAGCUGCAUCGCUGAAGACGGUUCGGUUGCCGGAGUUGCUGCCGCAGAAGACGCAAAUCCGCUUGAACUUGCUCGGAGCCACCUCGCCCAUCAUUGUUCUAUCCAACCUCUCCCUUGCUUUCCACUCUUCUCCAAAAGAUUGGGAUAAAAAAGAGAUUUCCCCACGCUCCUCUGUCUCUCUUCUCCAAGAGAACGAUACAAAGGAGUGAUUUUUCCCCCCCUCAGUUUCUCUUCUCCAAAAGAUUGAUUUGAGAUAAAGGAGAGAUUUGUCCCCUCGGUUCCUUUCACUUUCCCAAGAGAAUGAGGUGAAGGAGAAAUUUUUCCCUCGGUCCCUCUCUUUUCUCCAAAAGAUCGAGAUAAAGAAGAGAUUUUUCCCCCUCGGUUCCUCGGUCAAAACUUCACGUAGAGAAUGGAUUUUUAGACGGAGAAAGAGCGAAUCCAAAUCGAUACGCUCUUUUGUUGCUCGAAUCCAACCAGUAUCUGGAAUCCUAACGUCCUCCCUUCCCUCUCUGAUCUAAACAAACUUUAGUAGAAGACCAACAUCUCUUUUUAUCUCCCAAUCUCUGUCUUCUUUUAUUUAUUAUUCCUUCUGUCUUUUCCCUUUCCUCAGGCAAACUUCUCGAAGGAGACACCCACCGAAAGGAGGAAAGCUCUCUUACGCUGCCUCUCCUCUUCUCUCUCUAAGCCAUGACACCCGCCUAUAUUUAUUGAUCCAGUGUUGGUUUUAAUUGAUGUCAUUUGCCACCCCCCAUGGACCACAGCUUUGUGAUGUGAUUCCUACCGUUGGAUAUGAAUGGUCGCCUCUCGGAUUCGUUGGCCCUUAGGUUGCGACCUUGGAGGUUAGGACUGAGCUAAGCCCACAUCAAUCUAGUAGUUUGAAACAUCCCUGGAGGUGGUUAAAUUAGUUUGCUUGGAGAGACCCCGCUGUGCCCCAAUCCUAAUGACCCUUUGGGGUCUUUGUUUCUGCUGAACUGUUGAUAACUAAGGAGCCCACAUUAGAGGUCUUGCAGAUUCUGCUAAGAAAAUAAUUUUGCUCAAAACUUAAGCAAACUGCAACGCUUGAUGAAUAGUUAAUACCUAACUCGCUCAAGAACCUAGAUUAAGCCCCAAGUAAUCCACAUUCAGAAUGAGAGACUCCUAAUGACCCUUUGGGGUCUUUGUUACUGCUGAACUGUUGACAACUAAGGAGCCCACAUUAGAGAUCUUGCAGAUUCUGAUAAGAAAAUAAUUUUGCUCAAAACUUAAGCAAACUGUGUCGCUUAAGGAAUAGUUAAUACCUAACUUGAUCAAGAAACUAGAUUGAGACCCAAGUAAUCCACGUUUAGAAUGAGGGGUCACGACAACAAUGGAAGGACUAAGAGCAAUGGUAGUGUCUUCUUCUAUGGAAAACUUUCGUCGGUGGCGAUUAGGUUAGCCAUCGAAUUUUUUUCGCAUGAGUUUUAUAGCAUUUCUUUUGUAACUAACAAUUAUUAGAAGAUCUAGGCAUACAUGAAUAGGACUAUUGUUGACUCCGGGCAUCAUAUUUAAUUUUUCUGGUGAUGUGGUUAACAAUUUUUAGGCUAUUUGUGUGCAUCAGGUCUUAUUUGCAUGUUAGCUUUUAGAUUGCCAUGUGGUCUGGGUCAGUGCUCUAUAAGAACACCACCUUGUCGGCAUAAACCAGACAUGCAACAUGGCCAACAAGUUAUUAACCCUAUUAGCAAAACAUUCAAAAUGAAAAGUUUGUAAACCAACUGCAAAAUUAUUAUGCUGGAACUCUGUAACAACUCAAGACCUUAUCCAAAAUGGCUAGCCGGAAGAUAUUAUUUGGAUUUCUUGAUUCCAUAUAAGUAUUCAAGAUCUAUACAGCGAAUAACCAAUAUGGGACGAAACACAUGCCCGCACGGGUCCUUACAUACUCCUUCCGUUCAAGCCCUGACAUCCUCGUCAGGCUAAGGGUUCAAUUUUAUUCAAAUCUAAUUACAAACACGACGAUCAGUCCGUGGUCAGCUCCAAUUGAUCUAUGCUGCAGUGUCUUCUAGUCCACAUAGGUUAUGGGCCAGGUCCGCUCUGAUACUAUUUAAACAACUCAGGACCUCACCCAAAAUGGUUACAGAAAAUAUUAUUUGGAUUCCUUAAUCCUUUAUAAGUACUCAAGAUACAUCCAGCAAAUAACUGAUGUGGGACUAAACAUACGCCCGCAUAGGUCCUUACAAACUCAACAUGGAAAUGAGUAAUUACAUGCCACACAAUAGCACUUGUAGGGCAGAACCCUUCCCUCUUGCUCUCACAAUGCUGAGAAGGCAGCAGAGAAGAAAGAGGAGGAGAGCGUUUUUUUGCAUAAGCCUCUAGCUGCUGAAAGGAGGGGAGUUUAAGGGAUGUUAACUUUGUCCACAACGAUCACAAUAUGGUUUAUUACAGAAAGAAACCUAUGUAAAUCAUGAGACAUAAGAAGAGCAAAUCCCUAAUCCCAUCUUAUAUGGAGGUUCGCUUUACCCGUGCUCAUCCUGAAUGAUAACAGAAUGUAGCGGUUAGCAAUUGUUUAUAGUUGGUAUUUUCAGCAGCCUGAAGUGAUCAAUUAUUCGAAAACUAAAUCAAGAAAAAGUAGAAGGUAAAUGGAGAAGGAGAUGUACAACAAAAAACCAAGUUCGUAACUGUUCUCAUAAGAUGCUCACAGUGGUGUUUCGGAAACUCUGAAGAUUAUCAGAGAGAGAGAGAGAGAGAGAGAGAGAAAGGGGGGGAAAAGCAAAAGAAGGUAAAAAGAAUCAACUAAUAGAAAGUGUUCGAGUGCAGAAGAGCGUGCCAAAAUUAUCGUCAUCAAAUAGUAUUGAUGUGGCCAUCAACCGGGAGGUGACAUGUGGCGCAACAUGAACUUAGUUGUAUCCGGAUUCAAAUUCUUAGGCUGAAAGGUAAGAAAGGCUAAGAUAUCUGUCCAUCAAAUCAAGGACUCUAGAGCCUAGGUCGAGAGGAAGAAGGACUAUUUGUCUAUAGAAGAGGGCCCAAAUACCAGGUACAGAGGACAGAUAGUAUUUUCUCUUUUAUACUCUCCUUAUUUUCUCAGAUCUUCUCGCUUAUUCCUCUGUUGGUCCGUAGAACUUUUUCUUAAGCAUCAGACGAUCGUGCUGGAACCAAUCUGACGAGCCUUUCUCUUUUCUUUUCUGUGUAGAGCAACAACACAGCAACAACACACAAUGAACCGUGGUCUCACCAGAGUGCUGACUGACUAAGAGCCUUUCGACCAUCAGAUCAGAUUUUGGCAGCAACAAGUAUCUUUCAGAAUAGGGUUUACUGCAACUUCUGACUUAAGCACUCGACGGUCAUGCUGGAACCAAUCCGACGAGCCUUUCUUUUUUUAUGUGUCGAGCAACGACAUGCUAUGAACCGCUGUCUCACCAGAGUACCAACCAACUAGAAACUUUUCAACCAUCAAAUCAGAUUUUGGCAGCAACAAGUACUUUUCAGAAUAUUGUUUACGACAACUUCUAACUUAAGCAUCGGAUGGUCAUGCUGGAACUAAUCUGUCAAACCUUUCUUUAUUUUUGUGUGUAGAGCAACAAUACCUUAUGAACUUUGUCUCGCUAGAGUGCCGACCAACUAAGAGCCUUUCAACCAUCAGAUCAGAUUUUGGCAGCAACAAGUGCCUCUCAGAAUAUGGUUUACUGUAACUUGACCAACUUUAAAAUUAAGGCAGACUGCUCGUCGAGACUGCUCUUUUUCUAAAAAUAUAUAAUAAUUAAAGUGCCGACUUUGGUACUGCACAAGGAAGGGUCACUUUCUGUAAUACUGUUGCACAGGCCAUUUUGGUGAGAUCCAAAAUAAAUAUGUAAGAAGAAUUCACAAAGACAAGUCAUAUGUGCUACUGAGUUUAGGUAGUUUGUCGCUUACUCGAGAUGUAAAGACUCCUGGAGCACUCCACCAGGAUUGGACAAAUCGCCAUAAUAACCCACUUAAAUACUUAAUACUCAGUGCAGAGUGGUCCUCCAAUUCGUAGAAGCCAUAAUGAAAUUUUACAGAAUCCUUGCAGAAGAUAAGGGUUGCAUGUCCCCCUUGUAAGAUUUCAGAGUUCAUGGAUUUCAUUUGCUGGCUUUUGAAUGCUUACUUUCAACAAGCUCUCACAUGCAAGGACCUGUGAUUAAAUAUAUAAGACUAAAGGCAGUCUGAGAAAGUUCAAGGUAGCUAUCUGUCUCCAAGAAUCAAUUUUGUCAUGAAUACAUCGUGGUCCAAUUUACGUCAGAAAAGAUACAUUGUGGCCCAGUGCCUGAUUCAAUUCCAAAACUAACUGAAGACUCGUACGUAUACCUUAUGAAAGCCCCCAGUUAUUAAUAUGGAUGAGACAAGCUUCUCUGUAGUGCUACAAUACCACUGCAAUAGACAUUCUCAAAUACCAUCAUAAUAGGAAAAGGAAAGAACAAGGAAUAAGAGUUCCAAUUGUAUGAAAUUCUAAUGUAUCAAGACUAAAUUGAACAUUUGAUGAAUGGCGCUAACAGCACUCUGCCUCUGGUUCUCCAAAUUCAAAAACAAUAACAAAUUCUCAAGGAAUAAAACUUUCAAGUACAUACUUCAAAUAUGUGUGAUGAGAAAUAUAGUUGUUCGGAAUAUUACAUGAAGAUCUCAAUUAAAAUGCAUGCAGAAGAUUCUUUACUUUGACCGGCUUCGGACAUUCAGGCAGUGGGAACAAACUGCCUUAACAGCAUCAUAUUAAUACCUACUAGAGGACAGACAUGCAACUCAUAUACAAAGUUUGCUGCUUUGGUAGCGAACUCCAUACCGGUACCAUCCUAUUAUAGUGUUGGUAUGCAGUACGGUACGAGACUGCAUACCGGUUCGAUACUGAUACGGUAUGGCACAUCCGACAUGGUAUGGUACCGACGGAUACGACAAACCUUAACUGCUACUUACAAAUUUUUGUCAGUUGCACCUAGAUAAAUCAUCAUAAUCAUAAUAUACAUUAAGUAGUGCUAAAACCAUUGUUAUCAUAAAUUCGUUUAUCAGAUUUUAGUUACUGUGCUUCUCUACCUUAUCUACUCUUCAGAUAAGUCAAUAACUAUAUUCACCUGCCUCAUCAUAAUGAUCAAUUAAACUAUGUUCAACUUGGACAAAAUUUGAGUCACAACAAGUUUUCAAUACUUUAAAUACCAAGUUAUGCAAAUUUCCAAUUUCUUUUUUUCAGUAGUGUAAAGAUCGAGCUGAUUCUCAGGCAGAUAAGUAACCUUUAAAAUGUGAUUCUUUGUUAAGCAAGAGGACAUGCCUCUUUAGCUGCAUGAGUUUCUAUGAAACUCUGUGAUCUUUCAAGAUCUGAUUUUGCUGAAAAGUAAUAACAAUUGAUUCGGUUAAUCUGAAGUAACUUCAACAACCUUAAAAUGUAUUCACUGCUAAUAUAAUAGUACUCUGUACCCCAUGCGUAGGAUUUCCUGUCUGCUAUCUCACUUACACUAUUUGAAUUUGUACUCUGUACCCCAUGCUUAGGAUUUCCUGUCUGCUAGCUCACUUACACUUGAAUUUGUACUCUGUACCCCAUGCUUAAGAUUUCCUGUCUGCUAGCUCACUUACACUAUUGGAAUUUGUAAUAGUUACCCUCUUAUAAUCGUCAAUAAAUUAAUGAGGAAGCAGACCAAGAUAUCAGGAAAAAAAAUUGCUCCAUUUUAUUGCUUAAAAGAAAGUGCUCAUUGUCCAUCCAGUAAUAUACUACACCCUUGCAAGGACACUAGAACAUCAGAAUAAGUUAUCUACUUCUAUAAAAAAAAUGUGUUACAGGAGUUCUUGAACUUAUCUUAAAUAAUCACUAACUUAUUGAAAGCCAUUGAUGGUAUAUAUCUAUGUACGUAUACAUACACAUUUUGCCUUUAUAGAAACACUCUACAAAGAACCUAUUUGAGCUCAGGUCAUCUCAAUUCAUUUGAUCUGUUCCCUUCUGAUAGCAACACAAAUUCUGACAGAGAAGGUAGAUAUUUCUUGAUUUGUAGCAGAAUGAUAACUCUUAUUAUGCUGUUGCGGGUAGUCCAGAAUAGAAUCAUGCUCGUUGUAGAAGGAUUCUACGUUCAUGCUCAUCUCGACGUAGAUGAUUCUGGAACUAAAUGUCACACCACUUUAAAGACAAGCAUACUCUUCAAAAACAACCAUUAGGCAUGUUGUGGGUAGUCCAGAAUAAAACCGUGCUCAUUCUAAUAAAUGCACACAAUAGGCUCACCUUGAUCUUACUAGAUAGAGUAAGUUAUCACAACAAACUCAAAUCAUAUGCAUAGUUCAAUGAAAACUCAGGAAUCAGCAAGUCUGAAUGCAACCAUAUGCAUGGACACCCAAUAAAUCAAGCAAUUAAAGAUUUAUAUGAGAGAGAUUCACAAUAAUUGGUAAAAUGAUGUGUUCAUAAGAUAUAUUAGCAAUUUAGUGAAACCACAUUUACUGACUGGUGAGCAGAAUAUUUGAAAAGGAAAAAAGAAAAACCGUCUAUGCUACAAAAGCCAUAUAAGUAAAAAUCAGCAAAGAUCUCUGGAUACAUUAUAUAAAUAAUGACACAACAACAAGAUGUCGGGCACCAAAAAUAGAUACCAAGAACACAUGACCUCAAAGUUCCAAGAGACCAAGCAGAGACAUGAAACACUCAGCACAAAGAAGCUGAUCUCUAAACAUAGAAAUUGUUCUCCGUGUCCAUUCUUCUUGUCAUGCUCUUCCCCUUCCAAGACCUAGCUUUUCAUGUGUUAAAAGAUGAAACUGAGUCCGAACCAGCAUUACUCUUUGAGUCUAUGGUAGAGAAAGCCACCCUAAUAUAAUACUGAAGAUCCCUUGGUAUUGUCUCUGUGCAGGUAUUCUAUGAGUAUUGCUGACUUUCUGUUUUGCCUUGAUCGGCUCUGUCAAUUUCACAUAGUUGGGUGAUGCAACAUGCAUGAGCCCAAGCAUGGGGCGUGCAUGGAGUUUGGGUCCUCUCUUGGGCGUGCCCAAGCUACAUUGGGUCCAUGAGUCCAAACGUCAAGCUACAUUGGGUCCAUGAGUUCAAACGCCAAGCUACAUUGAGUCCAUGAGUCCAAUCAUCAAGAUACAUUGAGUCCAUGAGUCCAGUCGUCAAGAUGCAUUGAGUCCAUGAGUCCAAUCGUCAAGUACAUUGAGUCCAUGAGUUGUUUGAAGAGUUCUAGUUGAUUUGGGAGUCUUAGUUGAUUUUUAGUUGAUUGUGUCAGAUGAUUGAAUUGUUUUGACAGAGUCCUUGAUUGUUUUGCUUAGUCGUUUGCUUGUCCUUUUGUUUAAAAUUCAGGUGUGUGUGAAGACUCAUUCAAGGCAUGCGUGAAGCUCCUUCAUGGGCGUGUGCAAGCUAAGAGUCCUUCUGUUUUACUUUGUUUGAGACUCUCUCAAAGAUUAGUGUUAUCCAAAGCAAAAAAAAAGAUUAGUGUUAUCGAGUACUUAUAUAAAGAAAUUUGAAUUAUUUCAAACUUCUAAUUUCCAGCGGAUAGGAGCUGGUUGUUUGGUUUGUCUCCAACCUCCUCACACUAUAUAGAGAGAUGGUGUAUGAAGUUUUAAGAAAGAUUAGAGUUGAAAAUUUCUGAGUGAUUCUCUUAUUUUCCUUGGAGUGCGACACUCCCUUUUUUCCUUGGUGAGAUGCCAACCUUUGGGAAGAGUUCGAGUGAAGUGGGACUCUUCACCCAUUCUCACACCCAACCCUUUGAAGAGUUUGAGUGGAAGUGAGACUCUUCCACCCAUCCUCUUAGUUAUCCUAGUCUUCCCAUGCCACCUUAUUUGAGAGUCCUAGUGAAGGAGGACUCUUCCCAUUCCUCACAGCAUCCUACUAUUUCCUCAUUCCCGUGUCCACAUUCCCUUCCCACGCCACAUAUUAGAGAGUUUGAGUCCCAUUAGGACUCUUCAAUCUAGCCACGCCUCAUCUAGUUUAGUCAAGCCACAUCAAUCCUAAUUGCAACCCAAUCUAAUUAAGCCACACCCAAUCCACAUUCGGCCACACCCAAUCUAGCACACCAUCACAACACCUCCCUCAUUCUCUCACGUUCAGCAUCCCCUUCCCUUCCAUCCACAUACACAUCCAAAGACAGAAAAAGGAAGAAGAGAAAAGAAAAAAAAAGAGUGCCACGCCAUUCACCAUCCUUCAUCCUUCUCCAUCCCAUCCGCUGCACCAAAAUUUGGGCCUACUUUUACCACUCUCCAUUCUUUCUGACACUAAAAGGGCAGUUCCAGCUAUCAGGGUAUACUUACAGAUGGAAGAUGAUGGAAGAGAACUCUCAUCAUACUGGAAUUCAGAAGAGGAGGCAGAUUUUGAGCUUCACAAUGGUUGUUAAGCACUGAUGGAGGAAUCACUGAAACCCUUGUAGUGACAUCAUUUUUUCUGAUUUUUACCAAGCUAGAAUCUGAAUACUCUGAACAUGCUCCACAGGAUUUUUCACAGCUUUAGGACAUCUGGCCUCAGAAGGAUCAGUCUGAGCUUGUUCCUUUGCCUAUUCUCCCAAGGCUUAGCUGCCAUCGACCAUGCUAACCAGCUCCAACCCAAGUUGCUCUUAUCGACCUCAUGAAGCUUGAGAGAGGUCACAGAUGAGUUAGACCUUGCAUUCAAGUUGGCCUCCAUUGCUGAGAGAAAUAGUCAAAAUAAGGGUUCCAGCCAGUCUAAAUGGAAUGGUUAAGACAAUAAUGCUAUGAACUGUAGAUCAAAUUUUUGAUAACUUACCUGCUGAGAAAGAGAAUAAGCAAUAGCUCGUUCUCUCUUUGUAGCUCUCUCUUGCCUCAGCUGUAACUUUGCCCUAACUUCAUCCAGUGUGCCUUGAUUAUCAUCAUCCUUCCUGAAUAACCAAAAGAUAUUGAGAUCCACGAUUUUGUAAUGCAUUUAACAAGAUCCAAGUGAGUAACAAUUAGAAGACUGUGUAAAAAUUAGCAGAGAUUGGGUCCAUUAUCAUUCACUCUUUCAAUGAUGGAGUGCAACAAUACUCAAGUCUGUCAGUGCACAACCAUGUAAUUAUUUCUAUAAGGAUCAAAUUUCUAUAUACCAACCUCAACUUUGCAGAGCCACAGCUAUUGGUGAUGCAAAGCAUAAAAUUUCUACCAGCAUCAUACCAUUUUUUGAAACAGAUAGUAAAUUAGAAUUCUCAGAAUCAAUCCAAAUUGAGUUAAAACUUUAUGAAUGAAUGCACUAUGCACACAAAAAUUUUGGUUUGGGAUGCAGAGCUCAAGUCAAAUGCAAAAUUCAGAUUCCUUUAUUACAAACUCAGCACAGCAGACUAGAAGAUGCAGAAAUCUAGAGUGGAAGGUGAAUUAUGGUCAGGCUAAGUUCUGAUUUCAAAAUAAAGGUUGUGACUGCUAAGAAGCACUGUCUUCUCAUUGUCCUUCAGAUGUUCAAGUUUUCAGUUUCUACCACUAAUAUUUGAUCGAUGUAAUCUAGAGAAUAAAUCAUAUAGUAUUGCAAUUAUUCAAAAACCAUUUCUUAUUUUAAUUAGUAGAUGUUAGAUCUCACCCUUGUGCUAUUUGUCGGCAAAGUUCUCAACAGUUUCCAUCUAUCUCCUUACUUUCGUUAAAAUCACAAAUUUUUGCAUCCAUGAUUAAAGUACAAGUACUACCAAUUCGGUGCCAGCAUGGAAAAUCGAAAAACAAAUCAUGAAAAAGAGAAAUGUAAUUGCAAGAUGACAUGAAAAGAAUGCUGCAAUUAAAAGGUAAAUAGGGAGGGCUAAGGGUGAAUGAAAAAGGUAUACAUUCUUUCCAUUUGGUUGCGAUGGCUCUCAAGCAUCUUCUGCACACCCCGGUCCUCAGCAGACAACCGCACACGCCAUGCGCAGAUGUAGGCCUGCACUCAGACAAAAGCCUGCAUACGAGUACCCAAGAUCUACCUGUGCAUAGCCGAUGUGGGACUAAACACACAUCCGCACGGAUCCUCACACUACUACCUCCUGCUUCCUCACCUGGCAACCUCUCACCAGUGCUUGAAGCCUUACAACUCCUUUCCUUUCAAAGCUCUUAGAGCUCUUCUAGCCUACAGGUUCGAAGUUUAGAAAGAGAAGUGGAGGUGGGGGUGUGAAUGAAGGGCAAGGAUAGCAUACUAAAUUUUAACCUCAAGCUACAAAUCUAAAGGACAAAUAUUGAAGGAAAAAGAAACAGAGAAAUCUUCAUGUUCUGUCAGGAAACAGCAAGCAGGUGUGAAAAAUGAGGACUAAAACCAUUUUUGUUAAAUUCAGAAGAAAAAGUUUUUUCACAAAUAUGGCGAAUAUAAAGAAGAAACGGAAAAAGAUAAUACUUGGAUAUACAGCCGUUUUCAUCAAAUACAUAGAAUAAAAGCACAAAAGAAAUUGUUUCAAGUUAUAUAACAAACACAGACAGUGCAAUUAAAUCAAAUGAAAAAAAAGAAAUUCUCGUCUAAAUAGAGUUGAGGUUUAUUCACCGAAAAGGAGGAGGAGAGGAAGAAGUAGAAGAAGAUAAGCCUCGGGUAAAAUGUCGUACGGAUCAACUACAUAUUAAUGAGCAAAAAAGAAAAAAAAACAGAUGAGGAAAUAGAGGCAUCACAAAGGCUCAAUCAAGCAUAUGUAAGUAAGAAGAAUCAAAGUAGACAGCCAUAAUACCAAGAAUCCACCCCCGCCUCACUACCUCGAAAUCCUUUGGCAGCGCCCGGACGACCGUCGCCACCGCGGCACUGAAGGCAUCGGCCGAUGGGGAAGCGUCGGAAGCCUCCGACGCCUACCGGUGGCUUCUACUCCUCGACCCUGAGGGGCUCCUCCAUAGCUUCCGCUUCCUACUCUUUCUACUCCCACCACCACCAUCCACCUUGAAAUGCAUGCAAUCCAGUUCCACAAGCGCAAACCACGAAGCCAUUCAAGAUUGGGAAUUGGGUCGAGGAAUGGAUUGGAGUAAUUACUUGGUCGUCCUGUUUCCACUUCCCGGAGCCGCCCAUGUCUCCGGCCACCGGCGUCGACACCUUGGGCCUUCUCAGACCAAGAUGAAACAAAGAUAUCCCACAUUCACAACCCUUAACUAAAAAAUCGUCCAACCUUUCUUCAUUUGUCCCACUAAAAUUAAUACUUGUUUGAGUUCUGUCCAUCAAUUACAUGAUAUUUCUUGUCCCACAGGCCACAGAUCCUACCUUAUUUCAAGGGCCAACCUGGAAUUAAAAUCCACGCCUACUAAGUUCAGCCUUCAAAGAUCUUUUUUGCGGGGGAGGAGC